CUUUCUCUUUGCGACCAGUCCUGUCCAAGGAAUGGUAGUCGUCGAGACAGAUCACAGUGGUCGUGUCACUGAUGAGUGUGUUGGAAUCGGGGUUCCCGCCUUUCGGUGGCUCGGCGGCGCCGCCGAAGACGCUUGUGAGCCUCCGCAUGAAGGUGCUUUUGCCGCAUCCGGAGUCGGCGGCGAGUCCGAUCACGAUGGUUUGUUGUGCGGCGCAAGUGAUGAUUGUGUUGAAUCUACGGUUGGUUUGGGAUUGACGACGGUAGAAGAAGACUUGUUUCGAGGAGGAAGAAGAUGGAGAAGAGGUUAAGAAAUGAGUUGAGUUGAGAGCUUGUGUUGAGUAGAUUGUUGAGACAGCCAUUGUUGUUGUUUGGUUCCUGCUUCCUCUUCUUCUCCGCCUAAGCUCUCUGUUUUUUUCUUUUUUGGUUUUGUGAGCUAAGGUUGAGUGAUGAAUAUUAGGAUAGAAUGAAAGAAAUGUGGGUAACGAUUUUUGAUUUAUGGGUUUUUGUGUGGUGAUGUAAAGAUGUGGUUUUUCUUCAAAUAAAAAAAUAAAUGGGGUUUUUUUUUUAUGGGGGAAAGAGAGAAAUGAGAGGAUGAAAAUGGGUUUGUAGGAAAACAAAUGGCAAUUUGCAAAGAAGAAAAAAAGAGUUUUGUUUUGUUUUGAUUUUGAUAUGAUUUAGUGUGGUUUUUUAAUGAGUGGUUCAUGUUUUGGUUUCUUGAAGUAAAUUCAUCUGGUAAUGUUGUUAAAGAUAAGUUUUAGUCUCUUUGUUAAAGAUAAUUGUUGAUAAGUAAAAGAUUUCUAGCCCCAAAAAACCCAAGAAACAUGUAGAUUUACUUCCUUUUAGAUUUGCGUAAUCCCUAUUGUUUAAUAAUGAUUGGAUAUUGAAGUUUCGGAGAGAGUGAAGUUGCCGAUGAUGAAGUGAUAAAACUAAAACAGGGCAUGGACAGACACUUGGUGGUUAUUUGCUUAUUUCUUUGGGUUUCGGAUAUUUGAAUUGACACGUGGUAGAGUUUGAUUGGAUACAUGGGGAUUAUGUGCUUAAGGUCGGAAGUUGAAGGAGAGUGUAUUAUAUGGGCCCCAUUGACACGUCUCGUAUAUCCCCUUUAGCUUCGUAUCUUUAUGGUCUUUGAACAACUUACCUUUUCUUCAUUUAUGUCUCUUCCGGGACACAAAAUCAUUAGACUAAAAAAACUUUUUUUUCUGAAUAUUGACCGUGUUGUUUUAACAGAGAACCUCACCAAUUUUGACAACGAGAACACAUCUUAAUACACAUGAGUUUUAGCCAGAUCGAAAUUUUAUGGCUAUGGUUGUCUUAAUAGUCAACUUCGUCGUAAGGAAAAAAAAAACCCAGAUUUUAAGAGACGAUAUUGGGUACUAAGUGUUAUUACAAACGGAAGAAGAGCAGAAGAGAAAAAACCUACAGAAAUGGCCGAACAACCACUGUAUCUCUCUCUUGCAACUAUAGUAACUAAAAGAAAUUUACCUCGACACAACACAUUUAAUGGUAAAAUGGUAAUUACAUUCUGACGAGAUACACAUAUUUCAAACCUUUUUAUCAAAGGGAAAAUUACCAUCAUCCUCUCUCCCUUCUUUUUUUACUUGUUCCCCCUAAAGUAGAGGUAGAUUUUCUGCAAACACCACAACAAGAAACACGAUCAAUUCAUCUGUUCAUUUUACCAAAUCCCCUUUGCGGUUAACAUUUUUUUUGCAGAUGCUUACCUGAAGAACCCAUAGACUCAAAAGUGACUCCAAGCAGAAGAGACCAAAGCCGAUAAAGUAAAAGAUCUGCAUUCAUUCAUUAGUAUCAUAUUUAGCUUUAGCUAUCCCAAGAUUUUAAAAUUUUAUGAGUGUGACGAAUAUAAAAUGGAUGUAUGGCUCGUACCCCGGCUAAUACACUGUCUGAGAUGACAUCAAUUGCUGCAAGCACACCCCUGUUGAUUACAAAGAGAACGGGAACAAAGUUAAUCUCAAGGUAACAGAACACAUAGAAACACAAACUUCUAAAGCAUUACAAAAUAAGGCAUUAAUUUGACAGUUUCUAGUUUCCUAUGUCAGCAAAAGUUUUACAAAGUUGAAACUCAGCUAGAGCAACCAAGGGUCGAAAUGAAAAUUAUAAUUCUCAUUCUUAAGUUACAACUCAAUAUUUUUAAGCCUACCAGAAAAAUUUAGAACUCUCCAAAUGAAACCCUCACCAGACUAACCAACUACACGUGAAGAAACAGAGAGCUCGAGCGCAAGAAGAAUAGUAGGCUAUGACUGGAAAACUUACGUCAAUGAUUUUCCAUGGAAGAAAAUCGGAGGGGCAAUGGCGGCAACAAUGCAGAAGCCAAUGUGAAUCUGUGGAGAGCUCAGGUCAAUCAUAUAGAAAAUGGAAAAGUAUACCUACGUAUAGGUAACAUAUAAACAAUACGAAAAGUCUUUAUGAACUCACCAAGUAGGAGAAGAAAAACCAACCAAACUUCAAAGCGCUGUCAGUCCUACAAGGUGGUACAAUGUAUUUCAAUUAUUUGACCUGUCUUAUUAAACAAGUAUUAAAAACAUUGGAAGAGAGCUAAUUAAAACGAGUAUUACCUCAUUGCUCGGUAGAGAGGCCUGUACCACAGUACAUACGAAAGUGGACAUCCGAUCAACGCAUAUAUUGUGGCAAGGAAAAAGAUUUUAACACCUAUCAUUAACAUUUUGAAAAACAACUUUAGUUCAACCAAAUCCAAUCAGAACUUCAUAAAAAUAGUUACCCACAUAAGAUCAUUAUAGAAUAGAGCUCACCUCCGCCUUUAAUCCAGCAGACCAUUGUUGCAAUGACAUUGAACACCAGACACAAAACUAUACCUGAAAUUUAAACACGAACAGUACAAGCCCAUCAGUAGACUGCAUUAGAUACAUUUCAUUGCACAAAGACAAGACAAACUAAAUUGAACUUACCUAACCAACUAGCGAAAGCCAGAUACUGCAGCUUCUGAGCAUGAACUGGUAUCUCAUUAGCAAUGUCAUGGUGUAUGAUUGGGAAAAACGGUGGCCAGUUUUUAUCAUCUAUCUGGACACCAGCUGCAACACAAUUUGAUGAGUAUGGUUAGGAAUCAUCCAUCUCGACAUUCACUGAUAUAUUGUGGUCAGAGCGAGUCAAACUAAUGAACAAAAUGGUCACCAAGUUGUCAUUUGCUUACAUUUAGCAAUAGCAUCCUCUCUUCGCUUAAUAUCCUGAGUGAACAGUAAAUAAAUAGUUAUACAUAUAAGAGAAAACGGCAAUCAGCAAAACUUUAAGAAGCACAGUGAAGAUUUGUUUGAUGAAUUAAUAUCAAUGGAACGAACCAUUUCUUUCUUCCUAAGCUCUGCUUCCCAGUCUGCAAGCUUUCUCUGUUUCUGUGAAGAGUCCUGCACAAAUUAAACAGAUAUGUAAGAUAAGAUUUUAAGAGAGAAAGGUCCAUAAAUUUUAGGGAUACUAAAUGCCAUUACAUUCAUCGUAUCGAGUGGAAUAUCAACAGUAGCAUCGAGGCUCUGGCCAAAUCCAACUGGCCUAGACGCAGCAGGAACCCUACCACCGCCUUUCUGCAGAAUUUAUCAAAUAUUACAACACCAGUAGGCGAAUCGAAAAGUGACAUUGAAUUUGAUACUCCAAACCUAAAAAUGAGUCUCAAAUCAUUUCCAAGUUAUAAAAGACUACUCUCACAUUAAACCAAAUCACUCGCUAACCAUACUAGUUUCUAGAAAACUUCUGAAACCAAUUCCCAGAUCCAGAGAUACAACUCAGUACAAUAAAACCCUAUAUAUCGGUAAAUCCGGAAGAAAAAAUCAGAGAUCUAUAACCUCAACACUGUUAAAACCAUAUCAAACGGAAACGAGCCUCGGAGAUCAAGUCGAAAUCACACAAUCCUCAGUUUCUGCUAUAUUCCAGUAAAUGAAAACUCGUAAUAAGUGAGAGAUCUACAUUACUAAAGCUUAGUAAACGCAAAAAAAAAAACCCGAAUAAUCGUAAAAGAAAAAAGAAAUAAGAGAUAAUGCGUAGAAAUAGAAAGCGGAGAUAAAGCGAGAAAGAAAAGGAGAGAGAUAGAGAGAAAAGCGUUACCGAGAAGGGAUUGACGAUUUCUUCUUCCUCAUCGAAAGGGUUUGGAUCGUGGUGGCGAUUCAUUGCUGGUUUCCGAUCCUAGAUUUACGAAUUCCGAUAAGAUCGCCGAGAUCCGGCGAGUGUAAGGAAAAGAGAGAAAAUUAGAAGAAACAAAAAAAAGAUACCACCGACUGCGUAGCAAACUGAAAUGGGUGGACUCCUUAUUUGUUUUUUCUCUCGCGCUCUCUCCGAGUCUCUCUCGCAUGCGAGAAACCUACGGUAUUUACGAGACUACCCCUAAGAACUAUAUGAGCCGUUAUGGUUAUAUUUGGUCCGGCCUUCAAAGUCUAUUAACCAUAACGUCCCAUAUAAUUCUUAGGAAUCUUUCCACAACAUCAUUUAUUAUUCCUUUGACAUUACAAACACUAAAUUUUUUUCUUUCUUGCCCAUCGGUUCUUUCCACUACACAUCACAAAUAACAAAUAUACAUCGCAUUAUAUGGGAAUCGAUCUAUGGACCUUGUGAUGAAAUAGCAUACCAUAUGACUAAAAUGACUUCCACUAAUUACAAACAAAAAAGUUACAAAAUGAGUGUGUUAAACAAAAAAAUUCAAACUUAAACCGGGGGUAACUGAGGUGAACCGCCGGUCCUAUUAGCCACCCAAUGAUCCAUGAGUUCACUGAAAAUGCCGUAAGCAAUCACUGAGAGCCAUAGGCACCAGAGAACUGUGUGUGUACUGAAAAUGCCAUAAGCAAUCAUUGCUUAUAACGAGGACUGUGUGUACAGCUUGUGAGUAUGUCAUUGAGGCUUCUGUUUCAUUGCUUGUGUUUGGGAUGUUUUGGUUCAUGACGUCCAUUUCCUUUCUUUCUUUUUUUUUUUAAAACGAAGAACUUUUUUAUUGAUGAUAAUCGGUUACUUUCUCCUUUUCUUGUGAUAAUUUUGUUCGGUUCACGAGUUUAUAUAGAAGAGGGGGGGGGGUGCCGUGGUGGAAAUGUCGCCAAUACUUCGUCGUGUGAGUCGCGGGUGCUUAGUGGACCUAAGAAUAUACAUCUCGUUUUUGUUGUCAAUUCUAAUUUCAUUUGGCAAUUGGCAUUUUGAGUCUGAUCGAUGAGAUUAAAAAAAAAUAGCGAUUAAAACCAAAAGAAAUAUGCGUAUCGUAUCAUUUCAACGAACUCUGGCUCUCAAGUCUGAACACAAUGUGGCAUGGCUAAUCUCCUUGGCACAAGUGUUUUCUUUUUGGGAGAAUUGCUAUUGUGACCUUAAAAAUAGCUGUAAUUAGUAGAACAACCUUACAUUCUCGAAAUUAGUAGAAUAACCUUCCAUUUUAAAAAAACCCGAUUUUAUCUUCGAGAAGCUUUGAUGAGAAAAAACGUAUUUACAAAAAUGCCACUAUUAAAUUAUUUCCACGUCAGCUGUUAAAAUCGGGUACCCAGAAAUAAGUCUACCAAGCUUAAUGGUAGAUAUAUAAGUUUUGAUAGAUUUAAAAAUAUAUCGGUAGACAUAAUAAUUUUUGGUAGACUUAAUAUUCAAAAAAUAGAUUUGUUUAGGUGUUGAUAGACUUAUAAUGAUAGAUUUAUUUUCAUCGAAAGGUAGAUUUAAAAUUGUUGAUAGAUAUUUGAAUGUGUUGGUAGACUUGUUGGUUCUUAAAGUAGAUUUAUUUUCAAGAUGGUAGACAUAAUGUUGUUGAGUUGACUUUGUGAGAUGUGGUUGACCAAAAUCGGUAGACUUAUUAUCUUUCACAGUAGAUUUGUUAGACACGAAAAUAGACUUAUUUCUAAUAAAUAUAAAUCGACUACAAUAUAAAAAAUUUAUUCGUGAUAGUUUUGUUGUACGCAUGGUAGAUGUAAAUGUCGAUAAUAGAUUUGUUUUGAAAUAAUAGACUUGUUUUCUGUGUGGUAGACUUAAAAGUUCCGUUAGAGAGUAUAGAUAUGUGAUAGACAUAUGAGAGUAUGUAAUAGAUAUAUUUGGCGGUGGUAGACUUAUUCUUAAAAAAGUAGAUUUAUUUGAUAAUAUAGUAGACAUAUAACUCAUUUGGGAGCUUCGAUGUUGGUAGACUUAUUUGAAAAUUGGUAGACCUAUUUGAAAUUGGUAGACAUAUUGAAAGUUGAUAGACAUAUUUACUUCACUGAACGGUAGACUUAAUGAUAUGAAAUGACGUUUUUAUCAAGUAGUUAUUAUCGAAUUUUUCUGUUCCAACCACUGCAUCUAGUAGCUCUUAUGAUUUCUUCUCUUUACCUCUUUUGGAGUAUUAUUUGUACCUUGGAGGAAAAAGUUUUAGUUAUUGAUUGGGAAAUCGACUAUAGUGAUUUCGUAGGUAUGGUUUAUGAAAAUUUUGACAUGGAUCAAUGCUAUUAUGAGGUUCGAUUGAGUUAUAUGUUGUUGAAGACAUACUUGCAAAAGCUACCGCGAGAUACACUUCUGGGUUUUUAGCAAGUACUCGACAACUUGGUGGUUUUUUGCAAUAAUUUGAAAACAAAAUGGUCCGUCCAUUUAUGCGUCUAGAUUAUAGACAAAGCGGAGUCCAAAGAUAUCGAAAAAUAUGUCAAAACUUCAAUUGUAUAAAGUGAUGAUUAAGCAAGUAAAUCAUACAUGAUUCAAUAACUAUACAAUACCAUAUAUGAUUAAAUAAGUCUAUCAUACAUAAAUCAACUAUAACAUACAAAGAACAAUAACUUUAUCGUAUAUGAUUCAACAACUCUAUCAUACAUAUAGAGAACAAUAACUCUAUCAUACCUGAUUCAACAACUCUAUCAUACAUACACCAAACAAUAACUUUACAAUACACAGUCUAACAAGUCUACUAUACACGGAUGUCUGAUUCCUGCAACACACACAAAUUAGGGUUAGCUUUACUUUCGAAAGCUCACUUUCAGCCGCCGUUGCAACUGUAACUCUAUCUUUCGCACAAUCGACGCCGAAAGUUCCUUUUCAGCCCCUGCCGCCAUAGGUGACUGGUGUCUUUCGCCCAAAAAACACCGGAAGUUCCCUAAUAUGCUCGCCGGGUCCUCACAUUGAUUCUCUGAAGAAGAUGAAACGACUUCAAGGACUCAAACACGAAAUCACCAGAAUCACAGAUUCGCCGGAAACACAAAAAAAAUUCAGUAUAAUAACUCUAUCAUACAUGAUUAAACAAGUCUACCAUACAUGGAACAAUAAAUUAUAUAUGAUGCAUAAAUCUAUCAUACACGGAAAACUAACGUGUUCGUCACCGAGAGAAGACGAGAGGUCUGAAAUCAGCUUUUUUGUCUUUCGUCUUCUCCGGUGCUUGCUGUAGCCGACAAGCUGACAACGGUGAAGAACGCGAAAAUGAAAAAGUGAAUGAAACGAAAUGAUGAAGAAAAAUGAAACGACAAAUGGACAAAAACUUAUCGGAGAUGCAGAACAGGCCGAUAAGAAGCUCAGAAGGUGACCAGAAACGAUGCAGACGCCGGAAACUCGCAAAAUCUGGAAAAUCACCAUCAUCGUCGGUUUCUCCUCCACCUCUAGGUUUUUUUUUCUCGGAAAUGAAAUAGAAAUUAGGUUGAAAACGAAAUCUCAAAGAUAUUUAAAAAAAAUUAUUUUAUUAUUUUUUUAAAAAAUUAAUUAAAUUACGAAAUUAUUAAAAAAAAAAAAAGAUUUUCAUGUGUGAGGGGUUACACCGUCUUUUCCACGCUGGUAAGGUUAAUCUAGCAAAAAUAUAAGGGACCUAGGUUACUUUUGCAAACAGACCUAUUUGUAAGGUCAUUCUAGUAAUUAUUCCUUUCUUUUUAAACUCAUCCAAUACUCACUCACUCCUAAAUCAUUCAAUCUCACUCCAGUUUUCUUCAUUUUUUCAAUUUCGUUUUCAAAUUAUUAUUAAUACAUUUCUCUCUUUCAUAAAACAAAUUUAUCCAUUGGUGUGAUCUAAUCAAUGUGGAUUUAUACAUUUCUAAAUACAAUAGUAUGAGGAUUUGGUUCAUUCACAUUUUUGGUCAAUAUUUUACUCUUUUUUUUUGAGUUUGAAACGCCAAUAGUAGUUAUUAAAAAAAUCUACAAAAAUAAUUUUAGAAAUUUAUGUAGAUAAUAUUUCACAACUUUUAAAUAUUAUUAUUUUUAAAUAUUAACCUUUUUAGUUUUUUAUUAUUUUUAAUUAAUUUUGAUUGUAAACACGUCUUUAAAGUCAUUGAUUCAAUAGAAAGCGUGGAGUUAAAAAUACUGAAAAAGGUUUGAAAAUUAAUUUAAAAGUCGUUUGAAACAUGCAUACAGCUGAAUUAAUUUAAAACGGUGAAAAGGUUUGAAAAUGAAAAUAAAGUUUUAAGACUUUAUAAGAUUUAAAUUUUGGAGAAAUGUAAAAGCUUUAAGAAAUAGCAAAAACACCAACCAAUGUCUAUUCCAAAACAUUUGUUUGAAGUUACACUGUUAAUGAAGUGUAGAGAAAUGGAAAAUUUAGUUUGUUGAGAAAUUGUUCAUUUACAGUGUAUUAACGAAAAUCAAAUACUUAUUAAAAUCAAAUUGUUGGGAAUACUUUCGGGAGUGUUAGCAGGAACUGGUAUUUCUAAUGAUUGUUACAGAGUUUUGAGAUUUUAUUAUCUAUAUACUUAUUUGUGUAGUGAUUUUCUGAUGUGUCACGUUCAUAGAGAUUUUCGCAACCUUCCGCUUACGUGUCAGCUCUAGAAUGAAUUUUGGCUGUAAAUAGAUUGUUUAGCCUUAUUUUAAAAUUAUGUGUCAUUUUUUUAUGGGUUCUUAUCUGAUGAUGUAUAGAAAAAAAAACUUAUAAAAACCAGUCUAAAUUAUUAUAAUUUAAUAUUUAAUUUCAUAGUUAAUCAAACCGAUUUUAAAAUUAUAUAUAACCGAAAUUUUUUUAAAAAAAUUAACAAAAACGUUUUUUUAUUAAAAAAAUUAGAAAAUUUAUAUCUUCUAGUGUUUACCAUUUUUAUGUUUCUGGAAUUUAAAAAAAAUCUAAUAAAAAUGUAAAAAAAUAUAAAAAAUAAAAACUAUUUAAAAAAUAAUGGAUUAUCGUUUCAAAACAAAAAAAAAAUUGAAAUCUAAAAAAAAAUCUAACAAAAAGUAAUAUAUAUAUAUUUAUAUAUAACUAAUAGAAUGACGGUAUUUGUGAUGUUUAAAACACAUAAAACAGUGAUCAAAAUUGAAUAAGUUUAUACAAUACUUCAAAAAAUUACGUCUAAAAUACAUAGAACAAUGAUCAAAAGAUCUCAAAACUAUUUGAUCUAAAUUAUUUAAACUAUAUAACUAAUGAAAUGACGGUAUUUGUGAUGUUUAAAACACAUAAAACAGUUAUCAAAAUCGAAUAAGUUCAUACGGUACUUCAAAAAAUUACGUCUAAAAUACAUAGAACAGUGAUUAAAAGAUUUCAAAACUAUUUAAACUAAAUUAUUUGAAUACUACUAUGUUUUUAUUUAAUCUCUUCUAUUAUAUAUUAUUUUCACGAUCAUGCAUUCCAACAUUAAAAUGUAAAGAAAUCUAACAAACAAAUAUAUUCAAGAAUAAAUAAACAAAUGAAUCCAAACUACUAUUAGAUUUUCAAACAAUCAAAUAUAAAUUAUAUCAGUCCACGCAAAGCGCGGAAAAGUUAACUAGUUAUUGGUUUAUAUUGUUUUAAUGUUUUCAAUAGAUUUUACUCCUAUUUAUUUAUAAAAACUAAUAUUCUUUAUAAAUCCACUUUUAUUGGUUUGAUAACUUCCAAGUGUUAUUCUAAAUCCACCUAACGAUUCUCUUGAAAUUUAGUGUUAUUGGGUUAUAGAGAAUUCUUAACAAUUAAUUAACUCAUAAAACAUAUCUUUCAGAAUAAGGAAUUCUUAAAGUUUGUUAUGAUAUAUUUUCGGCGGAUUUGAUUAUUCAACACACAAAACGCUCGUCAAAUUUGGUUUUUUGUUAAAAAAAAUCAACAAAUCUCUUGUUCUAUGAAUCCACCUGUAUUUAAUAUAAAUUCAACUUCCAAUAAAUACAUAUCGAAAAUACUAAUAAACAAUUUGUGGGUUAGAUACCGUGUAUUCUUUUAAAAGUCAGUUUUAGAAAUUUUUGAAAUUAUUUGCCGAGUGAACGCGUUUAGAUUACGCGUCUUAGUAUUAUAUUUUUUUUAAAGAAAAUCAGUAUUUUGAAAGAAUUAAAACAACUGAAAAAAAACUUAGCGUCAAAUUUUAAAAUUAAAAACAAUUGGAAACAAAUUUUUUGUUUUUUUUUUGGGGGGGGGGGAGAAGCUUCCGAGCCUUUCAUUUUUCAAAACUCUGAAUAGUAAAUUUUCUGUUUGAGAACUUCUUCGGUACAAUGCAUAUCUUUUUCCUUAUCGAUUCAAUACAAAUUAAUAUACGAUCAAGGUUCAAUGUCUGUAAUCAUUCAUUUUUUUUCCAGAAACCUUUAAUUUAUGAGUUUAAGAAUACACAAGUAACAGAGAAAUAUGAUUCAAGGCAGGGAAGAGUGAUUGCAGAUUUCUUGGCUGAUUGCUUUCUCCAACAAAGUUCCCGCAUCUUCCAUCAUCUAAGAGUGUAGCCGAACCAUAAGAACGUAUAAGUAGCCCUGUAACCAAUUCUUCGGUGCACCUUCUUUACUCGCUCAUUCCUUGAAACCCAACAGAAUCUGCAAUUACUCUUCCCUGCUUUGAACAUGAGUUUACAAUGAUAUUCAUAUAUCAUGUAAACCGUUCCCCCGUGUAUCCUUGACUUGGAGCAGAAGUUUCAUAAGAGAAACCUUAAACAACUACAAUGAAAAAAUGGGCGUGCAAAAAAAAAUUAAAAAAGAAAGAAAAAAUGGGCGUGCUGGUGCCACUUUCAAAUUACUCCGAUGGCAAAAUGGGUUUAUAUAGGCUGCACUUUCGUUCACAUUGACACAUUUCAAACCUAAUCGUGUGGUCUAUACUCUCUCCUGAAUUAUGAGAGUUGAGCAAUAAACGGCUGUGAUUCAUUUCGGAAUAUUAGGUAGUUUCAUGGAAAUUUAAUACGCCUACUACUACGACUCCUAUAACUUGUAAUAUUAAUAUUAUUAUUAGAACGGUGAAGUCGAUGAGAAAAAGAGAAAUUAAACUAAGUUAUUUGACCCAAAAAAAAAAAGAGAAACUAAGUUUUUUUUUGGCCAAAAAUCUUGAGGAGUAAUUUACAAAAAGAAACUCAGUUUCGUCGAAAGUUUCGUUUUAUUCCGUCGGUACCUUCGAUUUUCCUCUUGCAAAGCUAUGAAAAAGCAUUUUACAAAAUACAAAAAGCUAUGAAAUACAAACUAUGAAAAUGGCUAUAUGACUGUAUUUUGGCUUAUACGUUUAAUAAGAAAGUAUGCGUUUUUUUUGUUAACUUAUAUUUUCAAAGUAAGACCUGACAAAUUAAUUUAUAACAAGAUCCUCUAUAUCUUUUCACUUCUUUUUAGCCGAAAUUAUAUAUAAAUUUUUGUUGGUUCUAAACACAAAUACUGUAAUUAAUUUUACCUAAAGCAUCUACAAAUUUAACCAAAAAAAUCAGAAACUUGUUUCCAAAAUUCAAAAUAGUUUUAACCACAUAUAGUUUGAUUGGUGACACAAAGCUGUAUAAAAAAUUAGUGCUAACAAAGACUAGUGGUACUAAAAAAACUAUAAAUAUGGCUUUGGAUACUAUUAAUUUUUUAUUCCUGUGAUUUGUAAAAUAUUAUUUCCCAUAAUUUUAAUUUUCCUCUUUAGUUUACAUUUUUUAAUGAAAAAUUAAAAUUGUAUUAUACAGCUUCCAUCGCCAAUUAUAUGCUCAAUUCCCUCACAUGUUCUCGGUAACUUCCCUCGGGCAUUCUAAGAAGUAUAUAUAUGCGUAGUUGCGUGUAUACAUAUAUAAGAAAUCCCUAAGGAAUAUAUAAGUUGGAAAAAGUCAUUAAUGUAAACAUUUGAAUUUGGAUGGGUAACAUGUAGUAUUUGAGAUCAUUCCAGGAAAUUUACGAAAUAAACAAAAUUAAAAUACUCUUAUUAUUAAAAUAUGUCUCUGACGUAAUCAUUUUCUAUAUUUUAUAAUUAUGGUAUGCGUAUAUUUGCAUAUAGAAAAAGCAAUGUAAAACAAUGUAUUAUCAUGCUUACUUUAUGAAAUAUCAUAUAUGAUAUAUGUAUGUAGAUUGAAAAAAAUGUCAAGUUCAAACAAAUAUAGCAUCCAUAAACUUCAAUAUCUCGAUAACAUUUGCAUACGCUAGUGCAACUAGCUGAUGAGCCCGAAGUUCACUUCAUAAUAAGAUAAGUCUUAAUCUAGUUCCUAAACUUUAAGAGAGAGAGAAGGAUAUACCAAUCACUGCAUGUGUCCGAGAUGUUUGAUUUUUUUUUUUUUUGUUGUCGGCCCAGAAUUAUACGUGAAGAUUGGGCUAAAUCAAAUAUUUUACAUUGACCUAGAAAUGGGUUUGUCAUUUUUUUAAUAGAUGCCCAAUAAUGACAAAAAAAUAUAGAUGCCCAAUAAUGGUUAUUUUGUGUAAAUAGAUGCCCAAUAAUGCUAGUCAUUAUGCAAAAAUAAGAAAAAUAGAAGCAAUUUAUGCUUAUAAAAUUAACUUUCGUUCUAUCCAUCCCUUAGCGCGCAAAUAUCUUAGUUUUUACGAAAACUAUCAUAUUUUGAUUUCGUCAUUGGAAUAACACACCACUUUCAAAUAAAAGUUAUCUCAAUUCCAUAUUGUGACCAAAUUUGUGCUCGAUUAAGCAAUAGAAAUUCGUUCAACGCCAGCCAAACUUUAAAACUUCUGAUACGAUCUUUCAUUUCAUAUUCCUUACCCACAAUAACUCAUUUUCUUUCAAAGUGACCUAAUUUUGAAAAAACUCAGUAAAUAAUAAAAAAAACUCCAAAAAAUACUUUGACUCAAUAAAAUAUUAAAUAAAUAAUUAAACCGGUAAAAUAAUAUUUAUCAGUUGUAACUACAAACAUCCUCAUUUCGGUUAACUACAACAAGGAUUCAUGUUUCAGCUCUUAUCAUGAUUCACAUUCAUCAUGGUCAGAUUCAUCAUGGUCAGAUGAUAAGAACAUAGAUCAUAUUUUGGAAAAGACACAUGUCAAACCCAAUAUUGGCUUAAGUAUUGUGCCAUUGCUUCAAAGCUUUUCUAAGACUACUCGUUUAUGAUGAUUAUUUUACUCGGAUGUUUUUGGCAGAAAAAAUUGACAGCCAAACGUUUGUUAGACCGCAAAACUGACAGCCAAAUGUCUGUUAGAGCGCAAAAUCCGAAUUGAAAUCACGAAGUAAAUCAAUGAAAUUAUAAACGAUAUCUUAAGGAAAGUGUAUGAAAACGAGACUUUGAAAGCCGUUUUGAAAAACUGACUAACACAGAGUCGAGAUUUGAUCUCUUUCCUAAACUCAAUUAAUCGCCCGUAAUGUGUGACGGUUUGUUGCGAUUUUUGAAUCCCAUGAUAAACCGUGAUGAGACUAUUAUGCAACACCCAUAAUAGAAUCUGCGAACUGAAAUAACUACGCUAUAAUUCUCGAGACACUUACUAUAUUAAGAUGAGAGAGAUUUGCUAGAAGCUAUUGUUUUCCAGUGUGUUUUUCAUUUAUGUCUGGAUACGACUGGAUGAAUUUAUCUCAAAAGAGGCUAUUGUAUUUAUAGUAGAAGAUCAUAGUGGAAAACUUUUCCAACUACCGAUGUGGAAUGUUUUACAUGUCAUUUUUUUUCCUUUUUACAUUCACAAGGGUUUUCCUUUUUACAAGGGUUUUCCUUUUUACAAGGUUUUUCUUUUUACAAAGUUUUUCUUUUUACAAGGUUUUCCUUUUUUAGAAGGUUAUUUCCUUUAUUACAAAGCUUUUCUACUGGGCCAUAAAAUCUCAUUGCAAUUCACACAUACACAAUUUUAUAAGCCCGCAAGCUUUAUAAAAAAUAGUUCCAACAAUCCCCCACAUGAAUAGAAAUGACUCUAAAGAUAUGCAGACUCAAUAAACUAUGCAGACUAGACUACAAACUAGACUACAAACUCGAUAGACAGAAUUUUCGAGAGUAUAAACGAAAACUAACUGUAUCUGAGGUAGUAACAUAUUUCAGCCUUGAACCACUCAUUGUUACAUCUGUCGGAUUUACUCAGCCAGGAAGUGAACGCGAUGUCUUGAACCACCCGGAUUUUUGUGUAAACCAAGACAACAUAUAUAACCCAGCUUCGUCUUCUCGUAGAUUUCAGUUCUCUAUUGUGUUCAUUUUGGCCUUGAACAUGCCUGGUUUAUCAUGAGUGAACUUAGAGAGUAUAGUCUUGUCCUCAUUCUCCUAGAAACAGCCUCAUUUCACACGCACUAGGUGAUUGCCAUCUAUCUAUCAUAUACACAGAAAGUAUCAUGUUAUACUCUAUAUACAUGUAUAUGAAGGCUAUGGUCUUAUCUCAUUAAAAGCCAUAAUACUUAACCUUACAUAAUUACAGGAAGCACUGUUUAUCAUCAUGGAAAUUGAGCAUUUUUACAGUGCUUUUCUUAGAUUCUGCUUGAUUUAAUUCUCCCUUAGAACCAACCUCUUGGGAUCUCCAAUUUCAUAGGUGGGGUUUCCAUCAAACAACCUCUUUCGUGAUAAGCAAUAAGCCCAUUCUCUUAGAUGAUUUAAUGAUUUGAUCUCGCGGCAAGCUUUUGGUAAACGGAUCCGUUAAAUUAUCCGCUGACUUGAUGUAAUCGACCGUGAGUACACCACUUGAGAUCAGAUGUCUAAUGGUUUUAUAUCGUCUUCGUAUGUGAUGAGACUUGCCAUUAUAUAGACUUCGGAGGUGGCCCUGCGAUUUUUGCUAGGCACCCCCACACUUUGAGGUAUUUGUACGAAGGUACAUUACUUUUCCAAAGCUCAUACGGUGUUUUGCUAGUUACCUUAUGAGGUGUUUUGUUGAGGAUAUUGUUUGUGGUGAGCAACGCUUCCCCCCCACAGAUUCUGGGGUAGCCCAGAUUAUUGGAACAUUGCAUUCAUCAUUUCCUCUAGAGUUUGUUUUUUUUCUUUCCGAAACUCCUUUAGCAAUUAAAAUGUAUAAGUCGCUAUACACAGCGUUUUCCGAAAGUAAUUUGCUUAGAGUUUCCAUGAAUUCACCAACAUGUGUUCUUAAAACUCGACAAACGUUUCUCGGACUUGUCUGAGACUACCACGUAAAUCGUUUCACAGAUUCGUCUAAAUUAAACGUUGAAAACUCGUUUUCAAAAUCGUUUAUAAGUAUUUUUUGCAAUUUCAAUCCGAUUCAAGCGAUAAGCAGGAAGCGGAUUUAUUGAGUUAAGAUUGUUAGACUGCAAAAAUCUGAAUUGAAAUCACAAAGUAAAUCAAUGAAAUUAUAAAUGAUAUCUUAAGGAAAGUGUAUGAAAACGAGACUUUGAAAACUGUUUUGAAAAACUAACUAACACGGAGUCGAGAUUUGAUCUCUUUCUUUAACUCAAUAAAUCGUCCGUAAUGUUUGACGUUUUGUUACGAUUUUUGAAUCCCAGGAUAAAACCAUGAUGAGACUAUUAUGCAAUACCCAUAAUAGAAUCUGCGAACUGAAAUAACUACGAUAUAACUCUCGAGACACUUACUAUAUUAAGACGAGAGGGAUUUGCUAGAAGUUAUUGUUUUUCUGUGUGUUUUUCUUUUGUCUGGAUACGACUGGAUUCAUUUCUUUCAAGAGAGGCUAUUGUAUUUAUAAUAGAAGAUCAUACUAGAAAAUUUUUCCAACUACUGAUGUGUGAUUUUUUACAUGUCCCUUUUUUCCUUUUUACAUUCACAAAGAUUUUCAUUUUUACUAGAGUUUUUCUUUUUAAAAGAGUUUUGUUAUAAACAAAUGGACUUCUAGUAACCGGCCCAUUAACCAUCAGGUUAAUGUCUCAUGGCCCAUUAGGGUUUUUGAUGCAUUAGUUAUGUAAUGUAUAUAUACACUGCUUAUGGAAAUAAUAAGAUCUGAGUUUUUCCCUUAAUACGUUAUCAGCACGAAGCUCAACUUCAAACGAUCAUAUCUCUCAAAAUACAAGGAGUUAGAAGGCGAUCUACAUAUCAUUUUGAAGCCCUGGAAGAGAAGAAUCUAGUGGUAAAAACCGCUCCUCAAUCCGACAACAGACGCGCCCUCAAGACUCAAAACAAUCGGCGCUGUCCCACCUUAGCGGGUGAUUCUUUCCAAGCGGUGGUUCCUCCAUUGUAGCAGCUGUUCGUCCUCCCUUCUGGCCAUCAUUCUCAGGAGUUUCCAGUAGAUAUCUGUGGUCUUUAGUUCCCAGAUCAUAAGCCGGUCAGAAAUCCAUUUGGCGAAAAGGUAUUAUCUAAAACUAUAGAUCCUAAUCAAAGUUUUUUGAAAACCCUAAUAUGGAUCGGUUCUUUUCAUGAUUCUUCAUCGUUUUUUUUCGUUUUUAAAACCAUAACCAAACCGAUCCUCUUUCUUCUUGUCAAAACCCUAAUUGGUUUUAUUUUUCCUAAUCGGCUUUAUCAUAUAAAACCUAAACCCUAAUGCUUUGUUCAAACUCUAUACCGAUCGGUCCUAGCAUCAUCUAAACCAAACACUAAAAUUCCUUGCAAACCGAAACCUAAAUCUUUGCAAAACCCUAGAUCUAAAAUCGUUUUGGUUUGUCUAUCGUUAAACCGAGAUCGAUCGGUUUAUAUCCUAAACCGAUUGGUUAUUUAUCUUAGAUCCGAUCCUUGAAAACCCUAAAACCGGUCCAUGCAAGCUCCUAAAUCCUAAAACCGAUCGACCCCUUAAAGUCUAAACCAAUCGAUCCACCUAAACCGUUUAUAAACCGAUAAAUUCUAAUCCUAAAUCGAUAGGGUUUAAGUUUAAACCGAUCGGUUUUUCCUAAUAAAAAUUAAACCCUAGCAAAUCCGUUUAGUUUAAUCCCUUAACCGAUUAAUAACCUUAAUAACCGGUUUCUAAAAUUAAAUCUAAUUUAACCGGUUUUGUUGUUUAAUCGAUCAAUCCGAUCGGUUUAAGCUUAAUCGGUUAAUUUCAAAUUAGUUUCCAAAAUCAAUCUCUAGAUUGCCUAAACCCUAAACCUUUAAAAAAAAAUAAAAAAAAAAUAAAAAAAAAUAAAAAAAAACCAAUGUUUAUCUAUUAGAGCUAAAUUUGGAAACCCUAGUAAACCGGAUAGGUUAUAAACCCUAAGGUUCGAUUUUAGAGUUCCUUUAUAUAGCAAGUUUCCUAAAAUAGCAAGUUUCCUGAAAUGGAAAGUUUUCCCAAGAAUACCUUAAAUCCCUUAUUCCAAUGAUCAUAGUCUCAUACUAUUGAUUAUUUAACAUAAAUUAUUAUAUGUUUCAGAUGUCAAACAUUCAGAAGGUCGAAUAUGAGGCACUCACUGUCUCCGGAGAUAACUACCUCAAAUGGGCCCUUGACACCAAGAUCUACCUCAACUCAAAAAGUCUGGGUGAAUGCAUCAAAGAUCCCAACACCGCGACUCAAACAGAACGGUACUCGGCGAUAUUUAUUAUCCGCCAUCACCUUGCUGAGUCUCUCAAGCAACAAUACCUCACUCUUGAGGAUCCACUCGAACUUUGGGUGGCACUGAAAAAGCGAUAUGACCAUCAGAAAACGGUCAUACUGCCCCAAGCCAAGUUCGACUGGAAGAACCUACGGUUCGAAGAUUUCAAAUCCGUCGAAGAAUUCAAUUUCGAACUCUUUCGGAUAGUUGCACUCAUAAAACUAUGUGGCGAGGAGGUCACUGAUAAGGAUAUGCUAGAGAAAACAUUCUCUACUUUUGGCACUCCCAAUGUUGUUCUCCAACAACAAUACCGUGCCAUGAAUCAUAGCACCUAUGAGGAUUUGAUAUCUUGCUUACUGCUUGCUGAGAAGAACAAUCAGCUUCUGUUGAGGAACAGUGCCAUGCGGCCUCCAGGAUCAGCCCCAUUGCCAGAAGGAACCAGAAAAGAGUCCAACUUCGUCCAACGUAACAGAUCCUCAGAUCGUGGACGUGGACGUGGAAAUGGACAUGGACUGCGCGGCAGAGGACGCGGUAGACCGAACCAAGUUAACCGACCUAACCUCAGUUUUGGUCGGGGUAAGGGUCGUGGUAUCAACAAACCGACCCAAAGAGGCUGUUCAUCUAGACCAACUCCUUGCUCAAGAUGCGGAAUGACUAAUCAUUGGGUCAAGAACUGCCGUACUCCCAAAUAUCUUGCUGAGCUCUACCAGAAGUAUGGGAAAGAUAAUCAUGAGGCUAACCUGGUUCAUCAAGUCAAUGAAGAUGACUCAAAGGAUGAUAAGAUUGAUGGCAUGGAUUAUGAGCUCUCCGACCUCCUUGAUUGAUCUCAAAAAAUCUGAAUUUGUUUUUCAUUACUCCUUAAACCUUUAUCUUUUGUUUUUGGGAUUUAUUGUCUUUACUUUGGAUUUUUAAGACCUUUUGCUUUUACAUUUUAAUUUAUGGAGUAAUGUUUUAUUUACAUCUCAUUUUUGCAUGUUAUUGAAUUAUAAUUCUUGUUUAAUGAAGAUAUGCAAGACAAUAUGGAUAUCAUUGUGGAUAGUGGAUCGAGCCACACCAUUCUAAAAGACAAGAAUUACUUCAUAAAUUUAGUAAUCAAAACCGCAAACAUUAGCACUAUAGCGGGUAGUUCGAGCCUAAUAGAGGGCCAUGGCCAAGCUAAUGUGUUGUUAUCAAAUGGCACAUAUCUAGACAUCUCUGAUGCCUUAUACUCACCCAGUUUUAAGAGAAACCUAUUGAGUUUCAAAGACAAAAGAUUGAAUGGUUUCCAUAUCGAAACUCAGGAUGAAGGGAACAAAGAGUUUUUAAUUAUCACUAAAAUGAUAAAUGGCCAUAAACAAGUUUUUGAAACUAUACCCGCCGUAUCUACUGGCAUUUACCAUGCUAAAGUCAGUAUGAUUGAGGCUAAUGCUGCUAUCAAAGCACGGUUUUUAGAUUACACUAUUUGGCAUGAUCGCCUGGGUCAUCCCGGUGCGAACAUGAUGCGUAAAUUAGUCCAGAAUUCUAAAGGGCACAGCCUUAAACCAAAUGGUGUUUUCCCUCAGCACCUCAAGUGCACAGCUUGCUCACAAGGGAAACUGAUUACCCGACCUUCACCAGUCAAAGUGUCUAAAGAGACCUUGAACUUUCUGGAAAGAAUCCAAUGAGACAUAUGUGGACCAAUUCACCCACCUUGUGGGACAUUCAGAUAUUUCAUGGUCCUCAUUGACGCAUCGACCCGCUGGUCGCAUGUCUGUCUGCUCUCUUCUAGGAACCAGGCUUUUGCUAGGUUAUUGGCCCAAAUCAUCAGAUUACGAGCCCAUUUUCCAGACUUCCCAUUAAAGACUAUACGUCUUGAUAAUGCUGGUGAAUUCACUUCCCAAGCGUUUAAUGAAUAUUGUAUGUCCAUGGGGGUAAGUGUUGAACAUCCCGUUCCACAUGUCCAUACACAAAAUGGAUUAGCUGAAUCCUUCAUUAAACGAAUUCAAUGGGUUGCUAGACCAUUACUCAUGAGGUCACAACUCCCGGUCUCAGCUUGGGGACACGCAGUCUUACAUGCCGCUGAACUAAUACGCAUACGACCAUCUAGUGAGCACAAAUAUUCACCAUCCCAAUUGCUAAUGGGUCAUGAGCCAGACGUCUCCCAUAUUAAAACAUUUGGGUGUUCAGUCCAUGUACCCAUUGCACCACCACAGAGGACUAAAAUGGGACCUCAAAGGAGGAUGAGAAUAUAUGUUGGUUUUGAUUCUCCCACCAUCAUAAAAUAUCUCGAGCCAACUACAGGAGAUCUGUUUAAAGCCAGAUAUGCAGAUUGCCGAUUUGAUGAAUCGGUAUAUCCUAGAUUAGGUGGUGAGACAGACAAGCUGGUAAAAGAACUUUCAUGGAAUCAAACAUCCACACAAUGGCAAGAUCCUCGGACUCUAGAAUGUGAUUCAGAGGUCCAAAGAAUUAUACAUUUACAAAAGCUAGCUAAUCAAUUGCCAGAUUCCUUUGCUGACCCGAACAAAGUUACCAAAUCGUAUAUACCAGCUUGUAAUGCACCAGUACGAAUAGAUGUCCCCUCAGGGAAAAGUCAAGUUGCUACAGAGUCUGACGCACGUAAGAAACGUGGACCACCAGGUUCCAAAGAUAAGAAUCCCCGAAAAUCAAAGAAAGGUGCAAUGAUUGAAACCGGGAUUCAAGAGAACACGGGUACAGCCUUAGCUGAUACUUACCCUAUCGAACCAUCUCAAGAGGUUUGGGACGCCAAAACUCAAGGUUCUGAAGGGAUUGAUAAUAAUGAGAUCUCAAUCAAUUAUAUCAUAUUCGGUUCUCUAUGGAACAGAAAAGAUGUUGACAUCAAUGAAACUUUUGCAUACAAGGUAGCACUUGAGAUUGCGCACACGCAAGAGGAUCUAGAACCCACGUCUAUAAUUGAGUGCACUCUUAGAUCAGAUUGGCUGAAAUGGAAAGAAGCCAUAAACGUGGAGUUGAAUAGUUUAAAGAAACGGAAUAUGUUUGGUCCGAUCUUAAGGACACCAUUCGAUGUAAAACCAGUGGGAAACAAAUGGGUCUUUGUGCGUAAAAGAAACGAACUCGGCGAAGUCGUUAGAUACAAGGCACACCUUGUAGCACAAGGAUUCUCACAGAGACCCGGAAUCGAUUAUGAGGAGACUUAUUCUCCAGUGGUGGAUGCAACUACAUUUCGAUUCCUCAUAAGUCUGGCCAUAAGAGAAAACUUAGAUUUGCGGUUAAUGGAUGUUGUAACCGCAUAUCUUUAUGGACCACUGGACAGUGAAAUCUAUAUGAGAUUACCAGAUGGUAUUGAGCUCAAAGAUAAGCAUGCAUCUCGUGAUAAACACUGCAUUAGGCUGAACAAAUCCUUAUAUGGACUGAAACAAAGCGGACGUAUGUGGUAUAACCGGUUAAGCGAAUAUCUCAUCAGAGAAGGCUACGAAAACGAUCCGAUCAGUCCAUGCAUCUUCAUCAGAAAAUAUCAAAACAAAGGAUUUGUAAUCAUAGCAGUAUACGUGGAUGACUUGAACAUCCUCGGAAUAUCUGGUGAAAUCGCCCAAACAGUUGAAUGCUUAAAAGCAGAGUUUGAAAUGAAAGACCUAGGCAAAACUAAAUUCUGUUUGGGAUUACAACUUGAGUACGUCAAUGACGGAAUCCUUGUGCAUCAAUUGGCAUACACUGAAAAGGUACUCAAGAGAUUCAAUAUGGACCAGGCCCACCCAUUAACCAGCCCAAUGGUUGUGAGGAGCCUUGGAUUGGAUAGUGAUCCAUUCGGUCCAAAGAAGGACGAUGAAAAAAUCCUCGGUCCUGAAAUGCCAUACCUCAGUGCUAUAGGAGCAUUAAUGUACUUGGCUAGUCACACUAGACCAGACAUCUGCUUUGCCGUGAGCCUCUUAGCUCGCUUUAGUUUGUGUCCAACUCAAAGGCACUGGAACGGUAUUAAGCACAUCCUUAGAUACCUUCAAGGUACUAAGGACUUGGGAUUAUUUUAUUCUAACCAUAACAAGGAUGGUCUAGUUGGUUUUGCUGAUGCAGGAUAUUUGUCAGAUCCGCACUGUGCCCGGUCUCAAACCGGUUAUGUUUUCACGCAUGGAGGAACAGCCAUAUCUUGGAGAUCCAUGAAGCAGACUAUUGCCGCUACCUCAUCCAACCAUGCGGAAAUCUUGGCCAUUCACGAAGCUAGUAGAGAGUGUGUUUGGUUGCAGUCCAUGACUCAGCAUAUCCGAUCAGAUUGUGGUAUGGACGAAGAUAAGGAGCCUACGGUGAUGUAUGAAGACAAUGCAGCUUGUAUCGCUCAACUCAAGGACGGCUACAUCAAAGGUGACCGGACGAAGCAUAUUCUGCCCAAAUUCUUCUUCACUCAUGAGCUACAGAAGGAUGGUCAGGUCAAGGUUCAGCAAGUCCGAUCAAGCGAAAAUUCAGCCGAUCUAUUCACUAAAUCAUUACCGACUUCUACACUCCAGAAGCUCAUUCAUCAGAUAGGAAUGCGUAGACUUAGAGAUCUACAGUGAUGCCUAAACCAGGGGGAGUAAUGCGUGUUGUACUCUUUUUCCUUCACCAUGGUUUUUCCCACUGGGUUUUCCUGGUAAGGUUUUAAUGAGGCAACGUUCCCCAGCGCAUUAUAGAGAUCCCGGUUUUGUGACAGGCACGGUUACCUUGUCCAAGGGGGAGUGUUAUAAAAAAAUGGACUUCUAGUAACCGGCCCAUUAACCAUCAGGUUAAUGUCUCAUGGCCCAUUAGGGUUUUUGAUGCAUUAGUUAUGUAAUGUAUAUAUACACUGCUUAUGGAAAUAAUAAGAUCUGAGUUUUUCCCUUAAUAAGUUUUCCUUUUUACAAAGUUUUUCUUUUUAUUAGAUUUUCCUUUUUUAUAAGAUUAUUUCCUUUAUUACAAAGCUUUUCUAUUGAGCCAUAAGAGCUCAUUUCAAUUUACACAUAAAAUAAUUUUAUAAAUCUGCAAGUUUUAUAAAAAAUAGUUCCGACAAUGUCUUUUUUUGUUAAAGGGCUUACUUGAAUAUAAAGAAUGUUAACAGAUACAAUGAAUCAAACAAGAACCAAAAGGAGCCUAGGAAAAGAUCAAAGCAGGAAACAGAUUACAAGGAUCAUAAAAGGUAGAGCAUGCCUAUCACAACACGCUUUACCACCAACCAACCAAAAGAAGAGAUCAGUCAAUUCGGCGUCCAAAGGGCGACCAGGCCAUCGCCAUAUUUCGAACCAAUUUGAAGAAGAGCCCUGGAUUUGUUCCUAAGAACAGCCAGUAUUUUAAGGAGUACCUGAGAGGGUCUUAGGGAAAACCCAUCAUGAAAACGCCGGUUGCGCUCAGCCCAUAUCUCAAACAUUGAGGCUUGCCAUCCCUGGACCAAAGCUAGAAACUGGACCUUUGUCGUUGUCGCAGUGGGGAGCCAAAGCACGACCUCAUUCCAAGAUCCAGGGAUGAAGGAUAAGUGAAGAUGAGCGAGCACCUCUCGCCAAACCUCAUAGGAGUAGGUGCAUUCAAAAAACAGGUGGUUUCUCGAUUCAGUAGAGGAGCCACAUAGCAGACAAGUGUUUUCGACAUCCAAACCCCAAGCAGAAAGUCUAUCCAAAGUUGGGUUUCUGUUGAGGGUAAAAAGCCAGGCCGAGAAAGCAUGCUUCGGAAUAGCGACCUUAUGCCAGACAAGAGGAAACCAGGCGACUUGAGCUUUGCGAUUCCUAAUCAUAUCCCAAACCUCUUUAGAGGAGAAAGAAUCCUUAACUUUGCCAGCAACAAUCCAAACUGGGUAAUCAGUUCUGCACGAUGGACUGAGCUGAGAGAUGGAAGCAUAAACCAGAACCUGAUCAUCCGAUCUAGCAGGUGGCAACCUCCAACUAUCUUCAACAACGAAGUCCGAUACCAGAGCAUCGAUAGGGAUUCCGAUUCGGGAAGGACCUGUAGCCCCAAGAAAGUUGAUUAAGGGUCCAUGCGAAGUCUACGGAUCCCACCAAAAGAAAGUGUCUUCACCAUUACCAAUCUGAAUGGAUAAGAAUUGUAAAGCCUUCUUUCUUAGAGAUAAAAGUUCCGACAAUGUCGACAGGUCGAAAGUAGUUGCGAAAGAUAUUGAAGCUUACCUGAUUGUAAAUAUUUUAGCUGAAUUGAGUUCAUAAUCGAUAGGACUAUAGGAGCUUAAAAAAAAGAUACGAAUCUACCCUAUGUAACAAGUAGUUUGGGAUAAUAAUUUUUUUUAGCACUAAUAACAAAAACACUGAAAAGAGAAUUUUUUACCGUCGGGAUCCCCAACUAUCACCAUCACAAUUCACGACUUAAGGAAUAAGUUUCUCGUUGUCAAAAGAAAAAGAAUUUCUCUCCGAGAAAAUGAUCUUUCAUGUCGUUGAAAGUGGAGUGGGGUAAGCCACGGCGGAGAGGUAGGAAGAGAAGAAAAGAAUCAGAGACGAAGAAAGGACGAAAGCAAAGGCGGCCAUGCACUUUGCGCAAAUUGCAACCGACCUUUUCAAAAAUUAAGUUUAAAUUCCCGAUAUAUAUUAGCAUUUUGUUAAGAUUUGUUAAUCCUUAAACCUGAUACUCCAGUGUGGGGCAUGCUUGAAAGGUUCCGAAUCGAAGCCUGGUGGGGAAUGGAGAAUCUGGAAUUGGACUCGUGGUCGUGGACUGGUGAAGAUAUCGCUGAUCAUACAUAAUAGGCCUUUCUUAUAUAUUCAUCUUCCUUGUAUAUUUAUAUGCUUUUGUUCUUUCUCCAAAAGAGAAACUAUUUUGAUAAACAUAUAAUAUAACCCAUGAACAGAUCUGUACUCUCGCAUAUUCACAAAGGCAAAAAUCCAAAUGCUUUUCUUUGUAUGACAGAGUCACAGUCUUGCAGACACACUUUGUCGGUAUGGGGUCGUUUGGCAAUAUGAUCCGUACGAACAUUUCGUUUUGUUUUUAUUUUAUUUUUGCUCCAUGCUAAGAUUUUUUGUUCUCUCUUUUUUUUUAUAUACAUAUUAGUCUAAGAUUUGUGUAACAUAUUAAUAUUGCCUUACAUAUUAAUUUCGUUUUUUUUACAUAUUAAUAUUGCCUUAUAUAUUAAUCCGUACGAACAUUUGCCUUAUAUAUUAAUCCGUACGAACAUUUGGCUAAGAUUAAUCUUAUAUAUUAACCCGUAAGGCAAAAAAAAAACAUUGUUAUAUCCUUUGACCAAAAAAAAACAUUGUUUUUAUUUUGCUACGAAUUGUAAAUAUCAUUAAAGGACGAUGAAAUGUUGAGAUUUCAUAAAAAUGUGACCUAUAGUACCUAGGAUAACUAAAAAUCCGCUGACUAGAACUCUGGGUUUAAGAAACUCUUCCCUAUCCAGAAAACUAGGGUUUACGAAACUCUUCCCUAUGCUGUUAUAGAACUCUGUAGGAAUUCUCAUAUUUAUUAAAUCGUCAAAACUGAAUACAUCAUUAAGCCUAAAAAACUAUUUAUAAGAUUAAAAGCUAAUUGUUGCACAAAAAAAAGAAGAUUAAAAGCUAAAACUUUCUAUCUACCCUAAACUUAACUAAAAUAGGAAAACCAUAAAAAUAAUAAAAAUAUAGAAAAUUCGCUUGUUAUAAUUUUUUUGGGUACUACAGGGACGUAGGUCAUAUCAUAACUAUUAGGAUGUUUUCGGCAAGAAUUUUUGAGUUGUACGAUCACAGAAAUUAAUUUGGAUGAGUCAAGCUUAGGGCUUAGUAAUUAUGACCUUAAAUUGUAACAUUUAUAAGACAUAUUAGCAGCAAGAACAAUACUGAUUGGUCCAGAAAACAAAUACUAUUAUACUAUUGAUUGGUAAAUCACUAGAUAGUAAAUAUAUAGUUAAUAUAGAGUUUUGGUUACAAAUUAUUAAUCAUCGAUCGUUUACCACUUUGGUGGUAAUUUUAGAAAGAAAAGAUGGUAGUUUAAAAUUUUUCUCUAAAAUAAUCAUUUCUUCAUUGCAUAUACGUACGGAUAUAGAAUUGGACUCCGUUCCAUACGCGAUCAUUUUAAUUUAUACAUCAUCGCUAGUACUCGAAAUGAGCGUAGCAUUAGUUUAUAUUCUGUUUUGUUACUAAUAAUAGCCAUUAACAGACGUAAAAAAAAGUAGCCAUUAGUAUAGAGUAGUGGAUUUAAAAAAACAAACAAACACGCGUAGAUAAAAAUUCUUGCCUAAUCUUAAAGUUUCGACAUUUGGCUUUUAGUGAAGAAAAAAGAGAUGACUAACGUUUGACUUGUCAAAGAUAUAUAAUAUUCGUAAAAAAAAUCUGAAAUAAAAAAAAAAUCGAGAUUGGCAUAAAAAAACCAACUUGCUUUCUUCGUUUGAAGCUAAACAAGGAAUUAAAAGGUCGAAUCUUUUUGCAACAGAAAAGUCUUUGAAAAAAGAAAAAAAAAAUUGAAUGAAUAGAUUAAAAAGAGAGAGAGGAAAAAAAAACUGAAAAAGGAUUUCACGUGUAAAGGAACUCAAGCGUGCUAGCUAGUGUGAUAGAUUUUGUAGAGCAUUAUUAAUCAAUAAAUCGACUUCCCCUAACAAGAACCUAAUCGACAAAGUACAUAUAUCCAAUACACACCGGUCUCUGAUGUAUUAUACAUAUAUCCAUGCAUGCAUGGGAAAGCACAACAGUAUGAAGUAUGAACUAAGAAAUAAAAACACAUACAAUGAUAAAAGAAAUAUAAACAUAGAAAUUGGAUAUCUCGCUUGAUCAUCUCGAGCCCCGGCGAAUAUAACUCACUUUAAUCCGGUGGAUCUACGGCGUUGUCCUUAGGGAAUACGAGAUCCGAGAAAGAGACAUACAUAACAACGAAGAACCAAACAAGCCAGAGAGCAAUAACGAUGAGAGUGAACCUUGGCGAAAUAAGGGAGAUGAUCAUAAGAGCUGCGAUAGCUCCAAAGAGAUGACUAACGUUUCCAGCGAAGUUACGGAUAUUAGGUUUGUUUCGAAGCUUGACUUCGAAGACUCGGAGGAUGGUGUAGAUAAGAGUGAAGAGCCAGAAACAUAAGAUCUUGGCUCUACGUUCUGCUUCGUUGGUUGAUGAAUUUGUGACCACCUGGAGCAAUCCAAUUGCUCCUCCAUUGAUAAAAAUGAUGAGCCUGUGUACAGUGGAGGAAUACGCAACUCGCUCCUCCUCCGUGUUCUCAUCACCGGAGCUCUGGCGAUUUGCGAUUUGAGCAGAAGAGGACAUGGCUAAUGGUUGUGCUUUUUCUUUGUGGUCUCCUUCGUCUUGUGUAUAUGUAAUAUAGUCUCAACCCGCUUCUUAUAAGGCUACAACUCGACAACUUCGUAUAAGAGUCCAUGUGGAUAUAUAGCAACAUUUAUACUAUACAUUACCUGAAAAAAAAAAAUUUUUGGUAAUAUAAAGUGAAUUAAUAAAUUAUCUUAAGAAGAAAAAAAUAGAAAUAUGGGUCGUUGAUAAUAAAGAAAAACGAAAAAAAUAAAGAAAUUGCAUGCAAAGUACUGGUUAAUUAAAGAUCAAAUAGAAUACAUAUAUGAUAAAUAAAUAAAUAAAUAUAUAUAUAUAUAUAUGUAUAUAUAUAUAUAUAUGACCAUCAGCACAUCUCCAUACAUUUUGAGAUUGAUCAAUAAAAUUUGCUUUUUAUGUAUUUUAGCAUCGAAAAGUUGAUUAUAUAAAAAUGUUAUUAUUUGUAAAUUUUGUGAUGGUAAUCCACUUUUUUUCUUUUCUUACUUAGGUAUAUUUCCUUAUUGCUAUUUUUUUCUGUAAUGUUUAGAUGACAUAUUCCCUAUUUCUUAUUGGUGUAACAGUUCCUUUCAUGAAUUCUUUCUCUUGUGUGGGGCAGGGGCACUCCCAUGUGCUCACAAGAGCUUGUAGUUAUGCUUAAUCAGAUUUGUCACGACUGAUUCUUAUAUGUAUGCGUUCACACAUAUACAAAAUCAUAAAAUUUAACAUAAUGUAUAUAAUUAUUAUGAUUUUACACGAAUUACCUGAUAAAUUAACCACUAUCUAAAUAUAUUUAAGUGAUAAAUUAUUAUUUUCCAAAUCAAAACGGGAUUAGUUUAGGAGCCAGUUAAGAAUAUUAGUCUGUUCAAGACAGCGAGCCAACAGAGGAAGGAAUGCGUCGGGAUGUGUUCGUGAACCAAAUAGUGAUAGAAUUGCAAAGAUCUAAGAAGAAGAAUACACAAAUUUGUUAACAACAUAUACAAACGAUCGUAUCAUGAAUUGCCCUAUAGAAUAUUCACGUUUAAGGAAACUAACUAAACUUUUCACAAAAGAGGAAACUACCUAAACUAAUAUUAUAUACAUAAAAGGAAACUACCUAAACUAAUAUCAUAUACAUUAAGCAUAUACAAUCAUAUUAUAUCUCAUUAAAUCGCUUUAUGCUAUGACACCGAGUUUCCAAAGUUGUUAGUUUCUCAAGUGGCUGAAGUUGAGAAGGACCUGAAGCUCCAUUGACCACUACGCACAUCCUGACUAAUCCGUGAGUCAAUAGGUAGGCUCCAGUAUUCUCGAACUUGAGCUCAAAAUCUAGUAUUAUGAUUGAAAAAGAGACGGUUUAAUAUUUUAUGUUUUCUUUUAAUCUAGUAUAAAUACUAUUGAAUUUUUUUUUUUCAUUUUAAUUUUAAUUAUUCUUUUUGAAUCAGAGGAAACACUAUAUAUAUAUAUAUAUAUGAUUUUCUCUUUAAUUUUCAUAUACUUUUAGUUUUUUUUUGGGUUAUAUAUAAGUAUACUUUUAUAUUCAUUAUGAUAAGCUAUACAUAUAUGACAAAUAUUAUACAGUGUCAAAAUUUAAAAUUAAGUUAACAAACCAUAUAUUUUAGUUUGAUGAAAAUGGAUUGAGUGAUCUAUCCAACUUUUUUCGCAUUCAACCAACCGUGCAUAAGACUUUCACCUCGCAUGAUUCUAAGACUUUCACUUUGCAUAAUUCCUAAGUGAUACUCCAUUUGUUUCAAAGGAAUAGACGUUUCACACAAAAUUUUUAGAAUUAUUCUUUUAAUGUUGUUAUUAAAUAUUACUUAAGUUUUAUCUUUAAAAUAAUAAAGAAAGGUAAUUAAUUAGGUCAAAAAGAGCAAGAACUGCACCUAGCUUUAAUAAUUGUCAUCAGUAAUAAAGAUAAACCGAAUCAAUUGUUUAAAGAAAUCGCCCUAUUAUAUGUUUGUAACGGCUUACAAUGUUUAUAUGAUUCGAGAUUGAAGAAGGAAAUUCGUCUGAAAAACCGUCUAAAAAUGGUAGAUUUUUACAAUUUGAAUGAGAUCAAUUUAAAAAAAUAUUUUGAGAAGAAGAAUUUGCUAAUUACUCCGUAUAAGAACUUAGCGGUAAAGAGGAAUUGGUUGGGAAAGAUAAAUCUCAAAAUUUUGAUUUUAAUAAAUUAUCUUAGUUAUUUUUCUUAUUUUUAAAAAAAUAAUUCUUAAUUUAAAAUAUUUAUGGAUUCAUAUAUUUAUAUAAUGAUUUUUAAAAAAUUAUUAUUUUUAUUAUUUCAUCAUUAUAUACUGACUCAAUUUAAAAUCAAUUUAAUAAAUUUAUCGAAUAUUAAUUUAUAAAAUAUCUACAAGUGGACCAACCAAUGGGUGUGUGACAAGAUUUUGUAGAGAAUUUUAUAAUCAACAAUAAAGAACCGAACAAACAUGUUCCAAAGUGUCAAUUAAACAACAAACGAGACAACGGUCUCAGAUAAUAAAAAUCAUAAAAUUAAUUAAUUAAUUAAUUAAGAGCUCUUAAAUAUGUUCCCCCACAAUGCAUGGGAAACCAUAGCAGUAAGGUAUAAAAAAUAACUUGAUAGAGAUUGAGAUACCAAGUUUCCAACCGAUCGAAAUUGGAUAUCUCGGAGACGUCUUGAUCAUUUUGAGCUCCGUUGCGGCGUUAUCCCCCGGGAAUACGAGCUCUAAGAAAGAGACAUACAUAAUAACAAAGAACCAAACAAGCCAGAGAACUCACUAACAUACGAAUCAAAGAAACUACCAAAAUUUCCUGAUCAAACGGAGAACACGAGAAACAGAGAAUGAAGAAGAAAUAAAAUAUGACACGAGAAGAUUUACGAGUUUAUAAUCAAUCUCUGAACGAGAAUCGCUGUUUGAUUAGGUAAUUCCAAUCGAUGGGUUGGUAAGAAUUAUAGACAGUGAAUAUACACAAAGAUGGGGAGAUUAGCCGUUGGGGAUAAUCAAUAUUUUCCUAAAUUACAUAUAGAAUAUAUGGCUCCUAUUUUAUUUAUCCCUACGUCUCGACCACAGCUACACCAAAAAUUCACUAUAUUAUUCGAAAGAUUACAAACAUUAUAUAAUCGUCAUCUCACAAACCCGAGAGAGAGAGAGAGAGAGAACAAUUCAAACAGAAUUUCAAAGCAUAGUUUUUUACAACGGAAUAACAAAACUCGAUUUACCUAUACCACAUAACUCUCCUAUUCUCAUAAUCCUCUGAUGCAAAAUAAGACUCCUUUUAAACAAGACUGCUAAGAACCAACUGUUAGACCGUAUCUUAAUCAAAAGCUCAAUUCGAUAUCACAUAUUAAGAUAUUAACUUUUAAUUUUUUUGGGUUUGCCUAUAUGGUCCAAAUGAACCAUUAUGCCCUGCUAAAUUUGCUAGCAGUGUUGGUAACCACCUAACCAUAAAGAGCCUCAUUUCGUUUGACUACCUCUCGUUUGAUUGGAGAAUAAGCAAAGUGUGUCCUCCCUGCAAAAUGAAACCAAUCAUAAAAACCACUCUUAAAAGUAAAAUGUAACGUCGAAAGUAUUCAAAAAAAAAAAAAAAACAUUUGAUGCAAAUGUCAUAUUGUUGGCGUAAGUCCUUGUGUAUCCAAUAACUUGAUUGUUAAAAAACCAUGGCCUCCAUUGAUCAAUGAUCGAAUAUUGUAGAGAUCUAAUCCAAGCUUGGGUUCCAAGAAAAGGCACAAACAUGUCAUGAUCACCACUAUAAGCCAAUGACCUACAAAUCCCUUUGAUGCAAUCAUGAGUUGGAAGAGGAAGAUCUGAAUGAGCAAGUUCUCUAACAUCUCUUUUCGAAAAUGCUUUUUUGAAAACGGAUUUGGCGAUGCAAGAUCACACAAUGGUGUCAAAAUGAAUGCGUUAUUUAUUCUUGAAACACACUGGUUGAUCAUCAUCACCAAACCAAAGACUCCCAAAUUAGUCGUAGCUAUUCACAAUUCUAAAACUUGUGUUCAACUUUUACCUUAUCGUAAGUCUUGCAUCAAUUUCAAGCAUCGUGUAUUACUAGGAUUUAUUUUUAUAUAGACUCCUUCGGAGUUACAUUGUGGUGGUGCGUGGAUAGUCCGAGAUAGCAACGGAGAAGCUCUGUUUCAUGCACGGAUGCCUUUGAAAGCUUGCCAAAUAGAGCUUUUUUUUUUUUUUUGCUACAACUGCAAAUAUCAUAUAUAAUGAAAGUUAGAUUUUACAAAAAGCAAAUCUAAUAUUUGUACAACCCUUGACAAAAAAGAAUAAAAAACAAGGGAGCACUAAGAAGAGAUUAAAUUGUCAAAGAUGCUAACUGAUCAUCUAAUCCAUAAGCACAUCAAAUCUUUAAAUUUCUUCCUGUGCCUUCUCGCUGAGAUGAUAUUUUUAACCUUACGGUCGAUUCCAUUCAAGACAGUAAGGGCAGCAAGAGAAGUCUGGUUGUGGAGAACAUUGUUUCUCUGCUUCCAUAAGUGGAAGAUCGUCGCCUGAGCAGCAAUCUUCUUGAGGAUGGUCGGACUCUCUGGCGAAGAUAUUCUAAGCCACGAUAGAAGCUCAUUCCAAGACAAGAACAUCUGCCUAUUAUGAUCGAGCCUGGAAAGGGUUAGUCUCCAAACAUCGCGGCUGUAGUCACAAUCAAGGAGGAGGUGAUCCCGCGUUUCAUCUAAGCGUGAACAGAGACAGCAAGAGGACGGGAUCUGAAGACCCCAGGAGACGAGGCGAGCUCGGGUAGGAAGCCUAUCCUGAUUUGCAAUCCACAUCGUGAAGGAGUGCUUCGGGAUGCAUCCUUUAAACCACACAAGUCUUGCCCAAUUCUGCUUUUCAGCUCUCGGUCUCAUAGCAUUCCAGGUUUUGGCAGAAGAGAACAUAGCUCCCGAGCUUCCUUCAGUGCACCAUUCGAAAGAAUCAGCAGGCGAAGUAGGAGAAGGAGGCGAGACUGUUGUAAGAUGGACAUGGAGAUUAAGCGCCUCUUGAGAUCUGGGGUUAGCCAAAGCUCAGCCCUGGAUAUCACAAGCAUCAGCAACAACAGCGUUGAUCGGAAUACGCAAAAGUCUUGGUCCCGCAGAUCCCAAAUAAUGACUUAGCUGACCGAAUGGUGUCCAUACGUCGAACCAGAAACUGAUAACCUUCCCAUCCCCCACACGCGCUUGCAAAAAUCUCAGAGCUUCCGAUCUUAACCUUAGCAAACCUUUCCAAGUCCAAGAGUCCUGCGCAGAUUCCACAAUAUUCCAGAAACUCUUAUUUCUCAAACGAAAGACUCGCUGCCAUGCCACCCACAGAGAAUCAGAGCUCGAGAACAACAGCCAGAUAAAACGAAGAGAAAGGGUUCUAUUCCACACAGAGAAGCUUCGAAGACCCAAGCCGCCUUCCUCUUUGGGAAGACAUACUGUUUUCCAGGCUACUUUAGCAACCUUGAAGUUAUCAAUGUUCCCAGACCACAGGAAUCUAGAACAAAGAGAUUCAAUCUUCCUAAUACACUCUAAUGGCAGAAUAAAGGUGGAGAUCCAAAAGUUAACAGUUCCAGAUAUGACCGACGUAAUCAACUGGACUCUACCAGCAAAUGAGAGAGUUUUCACCGCCCACGCCUUGAAUCUGCAAGUGAUCUUGUUUAUCAACGGUUCAUACUCUGCUAUCUUGAGCUUGCGACUCAUGAGAGGAAGGCCGAGGUAUCUAAUAGGCAAAGAAGCCACCGGGAAUCCAUAGCUAGCAAUAGCAGUGGAUUCAGAUGGAUUCAAUCCUGCAUGAAAUAAUUCUGUUUUGCUUCUGUUCAUGUGAAGACCGGACCAACUUGCAAAGUCAUCGAGGCACUCAUUUAUACCGUGUAAACUGUCACCGCUACCAUUGAAGAAUACCAUGACAUCAUCCGCAAACAUAAGGUGAGAGACCUUCAAGCUGGCGGUGUUAGGAUGGUAAGCUAUGGACCCAGAAUCAUACCGAGAUUGAAGAAGCUGCGUGAACACUUCCAUAGCCAGAACAAAUAGGUACGGCGAGAGAGGGUCGCCUUGUCUAAUACCCUGCGAACUGUGGAAAACUCCACUCGGGGAUCCAUUAACCAUGAUCGAGAACGUGGGGGUGGAUAUGCACUGCUCGAUCCAAACCCUGAAUACAUCCGGAACAUUUAACGCCUUGAGAGCUCCCAAUAUAAAGUCCCACCUAACCGAGUCAAAUGCUUUCCUUAAGUCGACCUUAAGCAUUGCUCUCGGCUCCACUUGGCUUCUGCUAUAACCAUGGACAAGAUCAGUAGCUAGCAGCACGUUCUUGGACAAAAGCCUUCCUGGCAUAAAAGCCGACUGACAAUUUGAUAUCACACUAAGGAGCACAGCCUUCAGUCUACCAGCCAACAGUUUAGAAAUCACCUUAAAGACCGUGUUGAGGCAAGAAAUGGGUCUGAAAUCAGAUAUGCUCGACGCGUUCAGAAAUUUGGGAAUCAGCACAAGAGAAGUAGCGUUCCACUGCUUGAGCAGGCGACCAGUAGCAAAGAAUUCAUUAAUAGCCUCAGUAGCUUCAACUCCGACCACAUUCCAGCAUGAGGUAAAGAAUUCAGCAGAGUACCUGUCAGGACCGCUGGUCUUGUUCUUCGGAAGAGAGAAGAAAGCUUCUUUAAUCUCAGCAUUUGAGAAUGGCUUAACCAACAUGUUCUGCUGAUCCUGCGUACACUUAAUUGGCAGAAGAAUGUCCAGGUCACUCUGGACAAACAGAGGGGGGUGGACAGAACCGCCAAGCAAAUUUGAGAAGUAAUCAACGCAGUGAUCCUUUAUACCGGCCGGCGAAUCAAUCCUAGAUCCAUUGCCAUCAGUCAGAAAGUGGAUUUGGUUCUGAGAUCUCCUUGAAGCCGCCAUUCUGUGGAAAUAAGCCGUAUUGCUGUCACCGAGACCAAGCCAUGAAAUCCUAGACCGCUGGCAGAAGAAAGAUUCUUCCGCAUGAGCUAAAGCUUGCCACUUUUCUAAGGCUUUGAAUUCAGAAUCAGCAUUAAGAGAAGAAGGGCUUUGAAGCAUCUUGUCUUGCGCAUACAGAAUAACCUCGUGAGCUUCCUUGACUCUCUUUUCCAGGUCAGAAUAGUUAUCCUUGCUAAACUCACGAAUAGCUUUCUUUAGAAGCUUAAGCUUCAUCGAGAACCUAAACAUCGCUGAACCGACACCAUUAAAGGAAUACCACUGAGAUAUAACCAUCGGCAGGAACUCAUUAUUCUGAAUCAAAAAGUUAAAAAACUUGAAUGGACCCUUAGGCUUGAUCUCAUUAGGGUCAAGAGACACUGACCAGGAAGCAUGAUCCGAAAAGUCGGGACUCCCAAAGAAAGCAACAGACGACGGAAAACAAUCACCCCACGCAUCGUUAACCAAAGCUCUAUCGAGUUUCUUUGCUAUUGGAUUGCUUCUCCGCUUAUUCCACCAAGUGUGCGUGUUCCCUCUAUAAUUCAGGUCAGAUAAGUCCGAGUUAAGCAGGCAUUGUCUAAACAAUCUCGUUCUCCUAUCCACAUUACCACUUAUGGAUUUCGAGCUCUCACCAGGAUGGAGAGUCUGAUUAAAGUCACCGAGCACCAGCCAGGGCUUCCCAGCAACUAACUGACUAGAUCCAAAGCCCGAUAGUUCAUCCCACAAAUUAACCCUUUCUACCGCAGAAUUGGAAGCAUACACCACAGAAACAAUGAUCACUUUGAGAGAAGUCGGGAGAGUUACCUCACAACUGACCAUUUGAAGAGACUUAGAUAUGACCAACACCUUGACACUCGGGUGCCAAACCACCCAGAUCUUGCCUAACUCAGAGAAUUUAUAGUUCUCCACAGAACCCCAGCCCGGAAAAAGCUCGCUAAUAAACUUCUUAUCCUUAGGCUUCUUAACAUGGGUUUCUAUAAUGCCGCCAAAAAAAGGUUUGUUUAUUUUAAACCACUUUUUAAAACCGCUACGAUGACUAUAAACAUUGAAACCGCAGACGUUCCAGCAAAAAAGGUCUUUACACAUAAUCUAAUGUUUCUUGGGGCCCUUGCCCCCAGUGCCAACCGCACCAGAUCUUUGCUUAUUAGGCAACUCUUUUGAGACCGUGUUUAUUUCCAAAAUCUGGCCUUCCUCCACAUCCGAUUCACUAGUGGGAAUGUCCGAAGAAUCCUCUGCAACAUCUGAAGACACCUCACCCGAUAAAACAAUCUCUUUCUGCUUGCUCUGAUCUGAGGCGGUCAGAGCCGAAGAACUAGAUUCACCCGGAUCAAAAUCUUUGGAAAGACCUAGAACCGGCUUAGCAUUAGCAACAACUUUGACAUUUGAAUCUCUCGCAGCGUCUUUGGAUGCAAGCGGGACCUCUGCCCAAACUUUUCCUUUACUCUUUGAUCGACCACGGCGGGUUUUCUUGCCUUUAGUCUCAUCUGGUUUCGCCUGCGAGCACUGGCCAGAGCCAUGGGCUGAGGAAUUACAAAUACCACAAACCUUCAAGAUUUUAGGGCAUCGCUUAACAUUGUGACCUAUCUCCUUACAAUUCUCACAGACAGGGGGCAUCCAAGGGCUAGAGACUAGGACCCUGCUUAUGAUUCCCGAUUCAAACUAGACAUUUACUGCUUCAGGCAACGGUUUUCUAGGAUCGAUAAUAGUAAACACUCUGGCAACUUCCAAAUUGGUUUUGUUUGCAGUUGAUGGAUGAAGGACCUUCGGUUCACCCACCAUCCCAGCGAUCUCGCCAAGGCAUUCAUCAUUGAAGAAUUGGAAUGGCACAUUCCUCAAUUCUAGCCAAAUUGGAGCAGAAGAUAGCUCCGGUUUGACGGGGAUAACACCAGGCUCCCAUUUGGCUACAAACAUGGUUUGGCCUUCAAUCUGCCAAAGCCUCUGGUUUAUAACUCGGUUUCUGGUAAAAGCAUUCGAGAUGCAGAAGAGGAAAGAGUUGCCCUCCAUUCUUGAUACCGAUAUAUCUCUAUACUGUUUGCUCCAUAUACCGUUCACAAUGUUAUGGAUUAUCCCUUGUGAAGGAGGGGCAGAAUAGAAUUGACCCAAGACAAAGCAUUCCCACGAUUUCUUAUUUUUCUCAAUCACAGAGUUGGGAAUUCUUACACAUGAUUCACCGGAAGGCAGAUUGAAGGAUUCCCUCUUCCUUUGGAGUUGUUUCGCAGUCCCUUUGACCAGGGAAACCCAUGAAUCCGAUGAAGCCUUAGCAGGGGUUCCAGCUGUCGUUGUUUCCGCCGCAGAUUUAGCUUCAGCAGCCAAAUCAUCUAUCAGUGGUGUGUUCGUGCGCUCACGGACUUCAUCACUAGUUAUAGUUUUUUCAGGAUCAGCCACGGAAGCAGCGAUCUCAGUAGCAACUGUAUUGUUUGAUUCAGAUCCUAAAUCUGAUUCAGUGUGGGCCGACGUAACAGCGAUUGGAGCAUCAGGGGAAACGGCGACGAGCGAGUCAUCCUUUGGAGAGGAGAUCAGCACAUCAACCGGAGCUUCCAAGACUGGCGGAGGCAAGACAACAACCUGAGCAGGGGGAGAAAUCAAAGGAGGAACAGGGGGUUUUUUAGGUCUGGGUUUUUUAGGUGGGGUUUUUUUGGGAGAAAGCUGCCCCAUGAGGAGAGGCGGGCUAGCGAAGGGAGAAUCGAAGAUUUUACGGCGAAGGAGCCGCCGGGCGGCGACCGAAGGGCGGCGACCGAAGAAAAAGACACAGCAAUCGCCUAAAAAUCGCACUUUUUCAAAACAACUCCCUGAAUAGAUACAUAACAAGAAGUGAUAGGCCAAAUAGAGCUGUUGCUGAACUUAGAGGAGUGAUUUGGGCGCUUCAAAGCAUUCAUGGAUGCGAUCAUUGCCUUGGAUUGUAAAGCUGCUUUUUGAUGCGAACUCUAAAAUUACUAUAGUUAGCAAUUAUAAUUCCUUAUGUUGACAGUUAAUUUUGAGAACUGAAAAUCGAAUCGUUGCUUUUGCUAUAAGUAUAAGUUUUUUUUUGUUUACUUAUUUAUUUUUGGUAAUUGACGAGGAUAAAAGUAUGGUCCCAUAUCAGUAAAAGGUCAUUUUCAAAAUAAGACGGGAAAAUGGGCAGUGGAUUUCAGAGGAAAGAAGCUUACAAAUCCUGUUUUGAUAGCUGGAGAUUUUGGAUGCUGGGUGUCCCUCAAAUGUGUAUGUUUUCAAUGUUUUGAUGAACAAUUUUUUUUAAAGAACCCUAUAUGAGAACCAAUGGAGGUAAAAAAAAUCAGGUUCUAAACUUUUAAAUUAUCAUUAUUUACUAUUAAAAAAAAUUCUGAAGAACUCCUUCAUGGGGUUUAGUAAUGGACCUGCUCUUAUACCGUAUGUUACAUUCAAUACGGUUUAUAUAUCAAACCGGAGCGACGUUAUAAAUCGACCAAACCCUUAUAUUUUGGUUUAUAUCCUUAAAAGUUAAAACUCUCUUUCACAUUGAGACAGACAUUUGUUUUUUAAUUAGUAGCCCAAAAUCCAAAAACCCAAAAUUCAAACCAAAAGACCAUGAACCAUUUUGAAACUACAUCAUCUCCAUCGGUAGAUAUUACUGAGUAUAUCAGCAAUACUGUAUACACUAUAUAAAAAAAAAGUUGGAGAAAGAGAGCAGAGUAUCUCAAAUGAGAACGAUGAGAUAGUCUUGAAAAAAUCUAAUGACAGUAGUUGUCAGUUUGUAAAUGGCUCAAUUUUAUUUUAAGUAUAAAAAUUUUAAUUAAAUAAUUGAGUUUUAUUAAAGUAUUAAUAAUUUUUAGUUUCAGAUAUCAAAACUUUAGCUAUGGAGUAAUGGAGAUGCUCUACACUUAUAUUUUCCGAGUGAUACAAAGUGGAAAACAUGGCUAAACUGGUGGCGACUGCGGUGUGUUUGGCCCAGAGUAGAUCAAGAGUUCACGUAGAACGUUGUAAACGACUGAGAAGAAACAGAGAAACCAGAGAAGAAGAAGAACGAGAGCAAACGUGGCAUAAACUACAGAUAUCAGUACGAUGGCUGCGAGACCACCGAGCAGAUGGCUCGUGUGUCCCACAAGUCUCGCGACGAACCCGCGUCGCCGCCUGACAUCUAUCGCUUCAACGACGCGAAGGACUGCGUACAACAAAACGAGGAGACAGAAACAGAGCAAUGCUGGUUUGUUUGUUUCGAAAACAGAUGAAGCGAUUAUGUCGUUAGGAGAAGUCAUUGUUGUUGUCGAUUUCUCCUGGUUCAGGAGUUGGAGUAGUCCUAGAAUUCCGGCGUUGACCAUGACGAUGACCUUAUGGACUGCCGUGGAGUAUGCGGUGAACUUCUCUGGUUCAUCGUCGGAGAUGGGGAACGGUUGGUUGUUUUCAGAGACAGAUGCCAUAUGAAGAAUAUUCUUCGAUGUUUUUCGUGUUUCCUUGUUUUUUUGGAUAAAUGUUUUUGGUGUUCUUUUUCAACAUGGACACUAAACCUUAUAUAAGAGAAUUUUUCGUACCAACACGAAACAUCGACAUCGGUCCACGGUGCCACCGUCGGAGGCAGCACCUAUCGAGGUGGGUGACCCAGGUGAAAUCAAGAAAAAAAUUGAAUUGUUGGAUUAUAAAUUAUCCCAUAUUGAUAAAGUAGUAUAAUUUAGAAGUGGAAGUUGCACUAUUAAUAAGAAGUCUUCUUAAAAUACUAAUUUAUAAGUUGUGGACUCAUUCUAAAACUUAUACAUAUUUAGAAAAGAAGCUUCACAUUAAUUUUUGUUUUCUAAAAAGGGUAGCUGCAUAUUGAUCAACAAACUAUAAAUUUCAACUAAUUCACAUGAAACUUCAAUUCCCUUUUUAUUUUUGGAAAUCCCUUAAGAGGUAGUUAAGUUGCUUGACUAUUUAUUUUAAGUAAUUUAAAAUACAGACACCAAUCAUCGAUGUUUGUGAUAAUAGCACACAAAUUUUUAAAUAUUAUAUUAAGAUUAAUAUAUUUUUUUAUUCUUUUUGUUGCGACCGCAACCGUGAAUAGUUGUUUUCUGCAAUAAAAAUUGUGAAGAUGACUUCGUGUAUUAGCAUUUGUGAUGAGUCUUAAGCGAAUUUCUAGUUUUUUUAAUUAAAAUAUAGGUGCUUGAAACUAUCACAAAUGAAACUGUAAUAAAACAAUUUCAAAAUAUGAAUGAGCGUAGAGUAUACCUUUGAGAUGUUUAUUAAUGGUGAAUUUUUUUUUCAUUAAAAUUUAGAUAAUUUUUUCUAUUAUGAUCCAUGUCAAUAAUUUUUCUGCCUCCACCACUGAGUCCACGUCCACACCGCCCGGACUACCGUGAUGGGGUCCUACUCCCAUUAGCUAGCUGUCGUCUUUGGUAUCUCUGGUAAUUAAAAACGGUCUCUGGUUUAGCUGUUUUUAACUGGUUACUUUACUUAUUCUCUUUUUUUUUUACUCACUUAUUCUUAAUCAAAGAACCUAAAGAAACCAGUUAAAAACACCUCGAAAAUCGAUCAAAGAAAGUAUUUUGUAAUUAGGAGACUGAGAUUAUUGUCAUCUCAUUGGAGUACGACUUGGAUUAUUUUAAAUUUUGAUUCCGGAUGUCUCUUGUUCUUUCAAUUUUCUCUAUGUGAAUUUUGUCACUAUUUUUUUUCUGGGUGAAUCAUAAUGUAAAAGUAAAAAGGACUUGCUUAUGUUAUCUAUAAAUAAAUAAUAAUACCUCCAGUUAGGAGUGGGCACAGAACUGAUAUUUUGGAUUUUGGGGAUAUCCGUGAUCCGCUCCGCUCCAUCCGGAUCAUCAUCUUUCUGAUCCGUAUCUGCUUUGUAAUUAUCUGGAUAUCUGCUUUUCGGAUAUCUGCCAAAAAUCCGAAUAUUUGCCGGAUAUCUGAUCCGUUUCGUAAAAAAAUUAAAUAAUAAUAGAUUUAAAAUAAAGUUACAAAAUUUAGCCAAAAUAGUAAUAUUUUCUUUAAAAUUUUUUUUCUUAACUUAUUAAGCUUUAAUAUUUAUAAAAAUAAAAUUUGCAAACAAUAAUUCACAAAAAUUACAUUUAUAUAUAAUAAUUAUACAGUAUAUAUAAAUUAUUAUCUAUAUAUAUAUAUAUACAUAUACUAAUAUCGGAGUGGAGCGGAUAUCCGUCUUAAUUUUUUUAGUAUUUGUGUUUUGCUCCGGCUUUAACGAAUACUGAAUUUUAAUAUUUGUUUUGCUCCAUAAAAUUACAUACAUCUGAAUAACGGAUUAAAGCAAAUCUAACAGAUAUUUCGUCCAGCCCUACUACCAGCAAGAAGCCAAGGACUUUCUCACAUUAAUUAUUUAUUUCCCAUAGGAACGAUAUGAAUUUGGUGGUGGUCAUAUGAUUGCUUCUUGACCUUAUGGCCGUCUGCUCAGUAUCUUUGACCACAUCGACGUUUUAGGCAAGUUUUAUAAAGAGGCUUGCUCUAAGAGCAUGUGCAUCACUCAAGGGAUCUCUUAGAUAUUAAAAAAAAAAAAUCUAAAUAUUAGGUUUUUUAAUUAGGAGACCGAAGAAACAUUUCUUAUUUGAUAAGUGUUAACAGAUUGAUUAUUGGAGAACUGAAGAAGAGAGACAUGUCGAGUUUUUCUCUCUUCUCUCUUCUUCUCUCUUUUUUUUUUCUCUCUUUUUGUCCUUUUUUUUUGUCUCUCUUUCUGUUUUUUGACUUCAAUUUUAAUAUUAAAAUAUUUUUUAAGAAUGUCACAUCACAUGCUCUUAGUUAUCAAUAAUGAAAGCGCGAGGACUUUUUAUUUUUGAACAUUUUCUAAAAAACGCAAGGACUUGUUUUAUCUAUUCUAUUAAAACAGAAGCACAUUUAGUGCUUGCAUCCAAACACUUCCAAAGUUUUUUUAUAAUAUUUUAUUUUAUUUUUAUAUUUAAUUUCCGAAAAUUAGUUACUAAUUUAGAUAUUUUUAAAUUUCCUAAAAUCUAGGUCAUUUUUAAUUUAAAUUUCAAAUUAUUAGAAAUUUAAUUAAAUUUAGUUACAAAAAUUUGCAUUCAAUUUAUUUUAAAUUCAAAAAAUUCAAAAAAAUUAUAAUUAAAUUUUAUUAUAAAAUUUUAGAUAAUAAUUUUAAUACUUUAGAAUUUCUUAAAUACAGAAAAGAUUUAAUUUAAAAUUUUAAAUUUAAAUAAUAUUUUAUAAAAAUACAUAGUAAAUAAAUAUUUUAUCGUAUUUUAUCAUAAACAAUCGGUAUAAAAUAUCAAAUAUUUUAGAUUAAUAAAUAUGUGUAUUAUACAAUAAUAUGAUCGAGCUGAUUAGAGUUAUAUAUAUAUAUAUUUAAGGUCCAUGAGUUAAUUUAUUAAAACAUGUAAGAUAUUAAGAUGAUUUGAAACAAUUAAACUAACAGGUUAGCCCGUAUAUAUAUAUAUUUUUUUUUAUUUUUUUAAUAGCACAAAUAAUAAAUAAAUAUCUUAUUAUAUUUUUUCAUAAUCAAUUGGUCCAAAUAUUCUAUAUUAGUAAAUAUUUAUAGGGUUAUAUAAUUAUAAUUAUAGUCUUAUACGGGUUAGUUUGUCAAAACAUGUAAGAUAUUAAAAAUGAUUUAAGACAACUAAACGGAUGGAUUAGCAAAUUCAUAGAUAUAUAGAUUGUUUAUGUAUAAAUCUAAAUUCACAUAAUAACAAAGUUUAUAAUUAACAUUAGAUCAAUGUAUACUUAAUUAAAGUAUAUUUUUAUUUUACUAAUAUAUAAAUUUUACUGUUUAAAAUUAAAAUAUGAUAACAAUUUUUUGAUUUAAAAAAAUAAAUAACAAAAAUAAAUUAUAUCUAAACAAAAAAAGAUAAAUGCAACUUAUAUUAAAAAUAAAAAAUAAAACAUUCCAGACGCACGAGGUUAAAAUCUAGUUAUUUAUUUAUUUGUCGUAAAAACGAUAUGAAUAUGGCGCCUAUAUGUUUCCGAUCACGACAGGUCCGUGCCUGGAUCCGUGGAUGGUUGGAAGUUUCUUUUUCUUUUCUUUUUCGAAAUAUAAAAUAAUCAUAUGUAUAAUUGCACCAGCAGAGAAGUUUCAAACACCGAAGUUACUCCCAUCCGCUGGCGGUAACAUAGUUUUUUUUCUAAACAUUAAGAUUUCUAUCAUUUUCAACUUAUUCUUAUUCUAUUUUUAUUCAAAGAACUUAAAGGAAUUUAGAAACCAGUCGAUAACACCUCGAACUGAGGUUGAUGUUGUAGCGUUAAAAGAGAAGAUUCUAGCAUUGCGCUCCUUUCACACUAAAUAGAUCGUGGCUUAUACAUGAUGAGCUUGAUGAUGGUGGUAGUUGGAGAACGAGCCUGACGCCUUGGCUGAAGAAUCCAUCAGGUUGUUGAAUGGAGGUCCCAAUGUUGGAUUACGCCAAACUGUAGAAGCAAAUUGACGCCAAAUAUGUCACACGGCAAUCGAUGUUUUUAAGAAGUUCUAAAUUCGAGCACCGAUUGCUGAAACGAGGGGGUGAUCAGUGAUCUAUAUGUCGUUGUUUUUUUAGUCUCAAAGAGACUAUAGGGGUUAAGUGUAUUUUUUCUUUCUUAAAGAAUGAAAACAAUUACAACAGCACCACAAGGCAAAACAUUGCCUUGAUCCUCCCUAGAGCAAUGCAGGCUCCAUUUAUCACCAUAAUUGGAUUGUGAUGAGAAAGCGGCGAACCAUAGAAACGAGCGGAAUUCCUUCUUAUUGAGCUUCUUGAAAGUGUACAAUAUACAAAGUAAAUGCAUCUCAUGAUAUCUUCAAAGAGUUUAUUCGGGUUUACGUGGCUGUGACCAUCAAGUAUAUGUGAUGAUCCAGUAAAAGUGUACAACUUUAUAGUAUACAAUCAAUAUAGAAAAAUUAGAGCUACAGUUGAAAAUAUAGAGGAGUCAAUAAUUUUGUAUUUUGAUAUACAGUAUAUAAAUUAAUACUCGAUAAAUUAAUAAUCAUUAUAAAUUAAUAAAUUUCUCUGAUUCCAAAUCGGGCUAGUGUAAAAAUCUAUUAAAUUCGAUAAGAUAAUAAGAUACUAAUUUUUUUGAAACUCCUAUAUAAAUAUAUGGUCCCAACAAAAAUAUAAAUAAUAAUUAUAUAAAUAUAUACAAAUUUAUAUAAAUAUACUAUUCUAAAAUAUGACUAAUGUGUUUACUUUUAUUUAAAGUUGAAAUCUAAUUGGAUCAAUUAUCUCUAAUUUUUAUAUUGUAGCUUUAAUUUUUAUUUUACGAUAUGCAUUCAAAAUUUAUGAUGAUUUUUUUGAUGUGAUAAUUAAUUUUUAUCUGUAAAAGUUUCUAAAUGUAUUGUAGUGUCAUCUUUAAUUUUAUCAUCAAAAAUUAGUAUAGUAGCCAUAAUUUUUUUAUAAAUUUAAAUUUAUGAACAUGUAUAUUUUUACAUGGACAAUCCAAUAUGUUAUUAAAAAUUAUUCUAUUGCGAUAAAUAUGACUGUUUAUUAUAAUUUGUAUUAAGAAAUUUGUUUAAAAUUUUAAAUAUAAUAUUAUUCGAAAGAAAGUUUUAGAACAUUAUAUGCGAAAAAUAUUUUUUUUUCUAUAAAUUAAUAACUAAUAAUUUAUACGUAAAUUAAUAUCAUGAUAAAUUAAUAAAAUAUUAUGGUCCCAUAAUUAUUAAUUUAUAGAGGUUUUGUAUUCAUCCUCCUCGUAUUUAUAGUGAUGCUUUUUUUUUUGGGAACAAUUUCAUAAUAGUACACCAGCUAAAUUUCUAUAUAUAUGAAAAAUAUAUUAGUUUAAUAUUUUCCAUUUGUAUUUUCAUAGUUAAUUAAUAUCAUUUUCAAAAAUCAAUUCAAUUAUUUUUAUAAAAAAAACUGAAAUAUGUUUUCAACAUUUAAAUUAUUUUUUUACGGGUUGGUCGAGAAAAUAUUUUAGUAAAUUACGAAAUAGAUUAAGCAGAUGGGUUUGUCUACUUUGAUAAUCCUAUAUAUAAUCAUUAUUAACAUGUAUUAUAGGAUUCAUUAACUAAAAAUGAUAAUUUGAUCUCUAAUAAUGUAUUCACGAUUAAAUUUUUAUUUUAUAUUUAGAUUAUAAUCUAUGUUGGUAUGUAUAUAAGUAUAUAUAUAUAUAUAUCUAUAUAUAUAUAUUAACAUCAUAUCAUUUUCAUAUUUAAAAACUACUGAUAAUUAAACUGCAUAACAAAACUAGCUCAAACUCCUAUUCGAUGGAUAUAUAUACAAAGAAAUAUCAGCUAUGUGAUAUUUAUAUAUGUAUUGUUAUUUAAUUGCCAUCAAUUUUAUUUAUUUAAUUUUUUUGUCAAAAAAUUUUUGGCACCAUUUUUAAUUUAAUCAAAAAAUUAAAAUUAAAUUUUAAAAACAAUUUUAAAAACAUUACUUUGCACAUUGUGCGGACUAAUUUCUAGUAACCAAUUAAUGGCCAAGGCAUACAACAAUCUAAUCCCUUAAAUAGUUUUUAUUAGUUCUUUUUGAAAAAGAAUUUGAUACAAUUUUAUUAUAUUCAUAAUUUUUGUAAAACAAACUUUUAGACAAAACUCUCUCUGAAAAUAGUUGCGGACUGAUAAAAACGCUGCCAAAAGCUAGACAAAAACCACAUAGAUAUAUAUGGGAAUCCCCAUAAAAAUGUGCUAGUAUAGUGAAUGAUUUAAAUGUAAUUUAUAGCAACAACUUUAAAUGGUCGAAUGUGGUUACUGAAAAGAGAAAAUCAUUAAUAUUUUUAUUAUUUGAUCUUUAAAAAGCUAUGAUGUUGGAUUAUUCAUGGAGCUCACUGUGUUAAAGAGGUUGGCCAUUUAUCCACCUUUCAAACAUAAUGAAGCCCUCCUCUGGUUUAUACUCUACAGUGUGCCCUCCUCCCUGCAAAAUGAAGCCAAAUACAAAAACCAUUUUCAAUUUGAAAUGUAACGACGAAAAUAUUCAAAAACAAAAAAAUUGAUGAGAAAACAAAAGAAAAAGGGACUUGCUUUGAUGGUGGCAAAUGUCAUAUUGUUGGCGUAAGUCCUUGUGUACCCCAUAAUUUGGUUGUUAAUAAACCAAGGCCUCCAUUGGUCAAUGAUUGAAUAAUUUAGAGAUCUAAUCCAAGCUUGUGUUCCAGGAAAAGGCACAAACAUAUCAUGAUCACCACUAUAAACUAAUGACCUAUAAAACCCUUUCAUGCUAUUGUUUAGAUGGUACGGUACACUGCUCUUUAUAUCUUUCUCAUAAGCCAUAUCCCAGUCGCAUCUCACCCAUUUCUCUAUACUUCCCUGCAAAUUUCACAUUCAUACAUUGAUUAAACAAAUGCUUUAUUAUUAGGUAUUAUAAAUAAUGACAUAUAUGUGCAUAUGGACGUAUGUAUGUAACUGUGACAUACUUUCACCACAUGAAGUGCUCUGCGUACAUCUUCAUCAUUAGCCCAAUUUGUAGCUAGCAAAUACCGAUACGUCUGCAUAUUUCAAUGGUUUAGCUAAAUGAUUAGGAAGACUACUUCAAUGGAUUUUGUAUAUUUCAUUUUUUUUUACUUACAUAGCAAUCAUGAGUUGGAAGAGGAAGAUCCGAGUGAACAAGUUCCCUAACAUCUCUUCUUCCAAUAUGCUUUUUUGAAAACGGAUUCGGCAAUGAAAGAUCACACAAUGGUGUCAAAAUUAAUGCGUAAUUUAACCUUGAAACACACUGGUCCAUCAUCAGCAUCAAACCAAAAAGUCCCAGUUAGUAUUCGCUAUUCACAACUCUAAACUUGUGUUCAACUUUUACCUUAUCGUAGUCUUGCAUCAAUUUCAAGCAUUGUGUAUUACUAGGAUCUAUAUUUACAUAAUUUCCUUCGCAGCUUCUCUUAAGAGACUGCAAACAAGAGUUUCAAGAAACCAUUUCCAUAAAAAAAAAAAAAUAUACAUGCAUUUUUGUGGAGAAGGGACAAGAUAAGACUUCAAUAUACCUCAUAGAGUUCAUCAGAGAUCAGUCCCAUCCCAUGAGCAUAUGGGAUCCUAUAGUUAUAAUCAAUAUAAGAAUCUGUUGACGGGUUCCCAAGAACAUAACCCUGUUGGUAUAAAUGAAACUCAAAGAUGUUAUAUAUCUAUUUAUAACUCUAUAUAUUACGUUAAGAUAAACAUAUGAGUGAAGAUAUUGAUGAACCUUAAGAUUGAUUAGAGGUUUGUAGCCAUGUUCAUUUCCUGCGUAACGUUAAUGUGAAAGACUGUAAUGAAUCCAGAGAAGAUGGAUGGAUUUUUGGGGGAUUGAUUAUAAUGGCAAAGAAAAAAAAAAGCAAACCUAUUGAGAUUUGUUGAACAAUAGCUGGAACAAUUACACCGGCAUAAGAAUCUCCACCAACAUAAAAAUGAUUUGAGACAAACUCUGGAUGCUCUACAAGCCACUGAAACAAUAACAACAAUCAAAACGAUUAUUUAUCUAUAAGCUAUAUAUACUUAUGUAUAUUAGCUAUGCUUAAGAGUCUCAACAAAACACUCUGAAAAGGGUUCAAGAAAUCAAAGACCUUUUGAAGAAACUCAUAAGUCUGUUUUGCUUCUCCUGUGUCACUAGGCUUAUCCACAAGAGGAUUUGUUGAGUAGGAGAAGCCAGUCCCAACAGGUUGAUCCAAGAAUAUUAUGCUAGCUAUCUGAGAAAUCAUCAAACCAACAAAAUCUUGAUACCGGUAAAACACCGAAAAAGAAAACAAAAAAAAAGCCUAUAGCUAGUUUGUGAUAGUGAAUGUCUAAGGGAGUGACCUUUGUCCAAGAAUAUGAAGUGGAAACAAGAGAAGGCAAACCUCCACUGUUACCCUCAGUAUUGAAAGUCAAAGGCCCUGCAAAAACAAGAGUAGACAUAGAAAAUCAAACUAAAAACGUCAAAUCUUUUUCAUUUUUCUUCUUCUUGAAAAUUACCGAAUUACCGAUUUCAAAAGCAAGGGCAGAGAUAGAAGAGCAAGCAGG
rnacentral:lncRNA from 1 species